AAAUCAGUUUAAAAAUUUGAAUUUACCAAGUAAAAGCAGCAUACACUUCAACCUGCACAUCAUUGCUUUUACUAGAAGGGUUGUAAUUCUCCUUUGAAGCCAAUGCCAUUACAGGUUCCACCAUGGGGACACUGCUAACAGUUUUCAAUUGACAAGCAAGGGGAUCAAUGUUUUCAGCAUUCCUUUUUGCUGGUACUGGUGUUCUCGUGUGCUGAGAAAGCUCCCUGUUGUUUAUACAAAGAGUAAAUAUGUUCUGAAUUCUUAACCUUCUGGAGGACUCUGUGUCUUCAGGUUUCUGGGGGGAAGAUGCCAAUAACCCUGUAGUAAGAUUGAGACUGGGAAUAUUUCCAUCAGCUAACCCACUUGAACAGACCCUUUUCUCCUCUAUUAUAACCUUCUCUACUUCAUCUUCAGCACUUUCUUUAUGAUCGUCCUCCUUGUCUUAUAACACCAAACCUUCGUCCUGCUAACAAAUUGACCCUUGUUACAAAACACAAGAACGUACGAUAUCAAUAUCAUUAAAUUAAACAAUAAGCACCAUAAGUGCCAAAUUUUGUAGCUACGCUGUUACCGAUCAUGCAAAUCAAAAUGGAAAUUACCGAAGAAUGUAUUAAGAACAAGCUGAAUCCCUCACAAAACGUCCAUAUAUUCACCAUUUAACCAUGACCAACUUUUUCGUUUGAGGCAAAUGAAAAAAAGAGACAGAAAGUUAAAAAGGAUAAAAAUUGAAAGCCGAGGGCAGUAAUUUGGAAGACGACAGCAUUUUUUAUCUCUUUUUAACAAGUAGGCUGGUGGGCCUCUCGUUUGCAUUUUUCCCGGCCAUUGGAGAAUUGAAAUCCCCAUUAAAUAAUAAAAAAAGUAAAAAUAGAAAUACAAUUAAAAAAAAAAAAAAAACAAUCUCCAUGUAACAAACGAUGAUGUCACGAGCUCGCAACACUUGUUGUUAUAAUACCUAUGGUCUCAAACCAACAAAGUGUUGGUUCCACUGGCAAUGGAGUCCCCUUAAGUAGCUUGACUGGGUUUGCUCCCCAGUUCGAGUCGCAGGGAAGUCGCCUUUGUUGGGAGAACCUGUGCCUCCCGGUUCGAGCGGGGACUUCUAGUCUGGGUUGUGGUACGGGCUUAAAGGUGCCUCCCACAGUUGGGGCCCUCCCCAGGAUACCUCGUGAUUAAUAUCAAAAAAAUAAUACCUAUGGUCUCACAAGGCCAAUAUCCUUUUAUUAGUUUGUUUUUCUUCUUAUACAGUCAAUACAAACAUCAAAGUCUAUAAAAUUUAAGAGUUUAAAAUUUCGUCUAACACAAAUCUCUUUAUUUUUUUAGGAUAUGAUCUAAUCUCUUGUGUUAUAAUACAGCUGAAUUUACAUUAGCUAAUUUUCUCCUUAUACCUCAUAUACUUAACUGUUGGAAUUCAUUAAAUAAAGCAAUCAUAUUAUCCAAAUAAAAAGAAAAGUUAAAUUUGUCCAAAGCAGCAUUGGAAAUAAAAUUCCACCUAAAAGACACAUUUCAUCAAGAUUCAUAUAAAAUUCAGUUUUUAAUAAUAACAUAAGUUUUCUAUUGCUUCAACUUCAACCGUUUUGUAUGGAUCAUAAAUGUAUUGUCUAUCAUAAAUGUAUAUUUCACAAUCACUUGCCCUUCAGCAACUUAAGCAACAGACUGAUGUGAGUAGGGAUAGUCGCCACUACACCGCACUGGUCAACUCCCAGUUGAACUUGCAAGCUUGGGUUCGCGUCCCAGUCCCACAGGCAGUGGAAGUAAGUAAUUACCCUAAUCAGCUGAAGUAUCAAAACCUGUGUAUAAGCCUGCAGAUUACAAGUUAAUCAUCAGCAAAGGAGGGGGCUGAAGCAAGAAACAACAUAUCAUGUACUAAUUAUAAAACAUGUAAAAUUAAUGUAUUUUGCCAGUCACAAAACCCGUUUUCUUUAGAGAUAACCACCCCAUAGCAACUAUAAAUAAGGGCACAAAAAUGACCACAAAGUACAACAGUCCCCUCUUUUUUCUCCAAACAAAUACAACCAUUUCAGUUCACAUUGAACCAUUCAAGUUCCAAGUUUCAACCAAUGAAACAACCAUAGUAUUCUAAUAAAAAUGAAAAAUGAAAUAACCAUAGAAUAAAAUAAUUAUACGCUAAUUCAAAUAUUGCUUCAGAAUUUACGAUUUAUGCCAGACUCAGUUGCUCAAACAUAUGGAAUUGGAAUGUUGCAUUUAUUUAACCCAAAAGGUGAAUGCCAAGCUUAAGGUUCUUACAUACUGAAAUGAUCAAAUUUCAUUCAUUCUGAACAUGGGAUGCAACUAGAACUAUUUCAAGUUAUUCCAGAAGAGAGUACUAAAAGAAAUUUUUUCAUCCUACGUGGUAUAAGUAGUAUACUUCAGCUAGUAUUAUGCAUCAUCGGUUAAAUCAUUUGGAUUAUUAACACUGAUAUUUUUUUUAUUAGCUGAAUUGAUAACUGUUGCACCCCUAACUUAAGGGCACGUGUGAUAAGAAAAUUUUAUCUACAUCAGGUGCAAGUAUAAGCAUUUAACAAUUAAGCUGUGACUGUUUGCUUACAAGAACAAACAUAUACUAAUAGAGAUGAAUAAAAACCCAGCACUUCAAGAAAAAUUUGACAAUAUCUCCCCUAAAAUAUGGAUAUUAUCCAAUAUACCAAACCAGCAAUUUUAAUACCCUGCAGCUUAAAACUUCAAAAUAUCAGUCAAUACAACACUUGGGGUCUCCGGGACCCUAUCACUACAACACUAACAAAUACAAGUGCAUCCUCCUGAUGUUGCGUAGUCAUUCUAAAUACAUGUAUUAAAAAGUAUGAUAUCUGCAACAAGGUAGCUUACAAAGUUUACUAGGCCAGCAAUGCCGAAGUACAACCAGAACAAUAACAAAAAUAUACAAAGAUAUAUAUAUUUCUUUAAACCUUUUAAGUUUGAAAGUUUUGGUAUUCAACAGAAACAUCAUAAGACAAGAUCAUAACAACAUACACACUAACAAAUAUAGGGUUGCUCAUACUUUCUGAAGUUACGUGUAAAGAAUCCUAAAAUUACUCUUUCAAUAAUACAAAAUAAAAACAUGCCUGACAAGUCCCCCGGGGCCACCGCCCAUGAUUUCUUUUGCAGACUUUAGAAAUCUGAACAAUAUCAAUUCAGCAUAGCGUACUUUUGAGGCAUUAUUCCCAAGGACCCUCGCCCAUAAUUUCCUUUCCGAGCUUCACUGCAGGACAGUAGUCUGACCAUGACCAAUCAACCUUCUCAAACCUCAAUUUGAAUGAAAGGAAUAAAAAUUAUUAACUCAUUCAAUAGCAUCAAUGUAAGUUUCCUUACAAUAACACACCACAUCCAUGAUAUUUCUCAAUAACAAUAGCCAUAGAUAACAGAAUCUCAGCACAUCCCCAGUUUAACACCACAUCCACAAACUUAAAUGCAAUCAAAGCACCAUAUCAUUGCAGGAUACAUUAACACAAUUCAGCACCACUACAUAUUCCAAACUUGGCUCAUAUCGCCGUAAAGUUCAAUUCUCAUUCAUGACUGCAUCAACCCAAAUUAACUGAUUCAAGUAAUUUCAAUACAUGGUCUUCAAUUAAAACUCGCAAUCCUGUGAUAAUUCUAGCAUGUCAAUUUUUUAUUUUAGCCAUGUAGCCAUGUAAUUAAAUGGCUAACCACACACCCACUGCAUUAAUUCUUAAAGGAAGCAAUUAAGCCAUUAACACAUUAAAUCUAUGGAAAACAACUUAUAAGGACCCAAAAUAAAAAUUCAGAUUAUCAAGCAAGAAAAACAACCUGAUUUUUCAGUUUUGAGUAACAAAAUCACUCAAUUGCAUAUAACCACAUACCUUAAAUCCUGCACCAACAGCUCCUAGCUCUCCAAACACUUCUCUAACUCCACUUCCUACUGGUAAUACUGCAACAAAAAUUAACCAACUAUUCUGCCAAUAAUUUAAGGAUCCCAAAUUCAACACAAUCCUAAACUUGCUGAAAGUUACAGCAAGGAAACAAUUAAGAAAAUUAAGUGAAAAAACAUUCCAUCGAUAAAAGUAAGAAGAUUUCAAAAUUGAACCAUGCAUGCACACAAACUUACCCAAACCAGGUCUAAAGGCCAACAAUGAAAAUUUCACAUUAAAGCAACCAGAAUACCCGAAAAAUAGCUUAAAUUAAAAGUUUUUGACUCGUUCAGAAAGACACCAACAAUUUCCAAAACCUUUUGUUGGACCCCACGUUUAUAAAUUCUCAAAACAACUUCUUCCACCAAUCUGACAACAUCACAGAAAACUGGCAACACCACAUUUAAUUGUCUUUUAAGUUAUAAAAAAGCUUCAAGCUUUGCAGAUGCCAGGAUAUAAUGAGAAACCAAUCAUAGAACAUGUGAUGAGCAAGGGCACAAGCAGAGGAAAGAUCUUCAAUGCCUUAGUGUUCUGGACCUCCAGCAACAUUCAUUUUUAUGCAAUAUUCUUUUUCAAAUUUUUCUAUAUCGCUAAGAUUUAUAUCACUAAAUUUUUCUAUUAAUUCUUCUAAUAUAUUUUUCAUUAUUCUGUAUCACUUGGUACAGGUUCCUUUAUUUCUAAUUUUUCUUUUCCUUUUUCCUUUGUUUUUAAUUCUGCUUUUAAUCUUUCUGAUUCCUCUAAUAUUUUUGGGUAUUGAGUUUUUAUAAACCAAUCAUCAUAACUUCCUGGCUGAGGUUUUGUUAUUUGUUUUUCAAAACUUGUUCCUAUUAUUCCUGAUUUUAUUAUUUCAAGUUUUUCCACCUUUUUAUCUUUUUUCCGAUUUAUCUGUAUUGUAGAUAAUUCUAUUUUUAUUUUUCCUAUUUCUUGUUUAAUUUCUCUCAUCUCUUCUUUAAGAUUUAAAAGUAUUUCUUUUAAUUCAAAUAACGUAGUUUCCAUGAAAGUUAGGGGUAUUGAUGGAUAUUAUUUCUUUUGAGUGUAUGUUACAUUUAAAGUAACAUAGUGCUAGCCUUUUUUUUAUUUUAAAUUUAUAAAUGUAAAAUAUUAAUUUAUAAAGCUGAAUCAGUGUGUACGUAUAGAAAACAGUCAACCUGACCUGACUGCCGAUGAGUUAAAUGGGUCUGCAUUUGGCUGUUAAAUAAUUUGUUCGUUGCUCCUGCAACAGGCCAAUUCUCUAUAUUCAUAUAAAAUUUGAAUGGCUAUUACUGAGUGAGUGUAUAGGGUACUGGAUAAAAAUGAAAAACAGAAUAAAUUUGACACAACAUUUUAUUUAAUAUACCCUUCUCCAUAUCAUAACUAAUUCAACAGCCACUACUUUCUUGGAAAAUCAUAAGUAUUAAAGAAAAAGACAAAAGUAAACAAAUAUAGAAAUAUGGAAAGAAAGCUUUCAAGUCUUUUCAUCAAUAAAGCCGAAAAUAGCAUCUAACCAAAAGCUGAUAUUCACAGACACUGACCAUAUUAAACCAACCAUUUCCAAAACGGAAGAAAAAGAUUUAGAUUCCACCUUAUAAAUAUAGUUAAUGUAAUUAAAAUUAUUAAUUCAAAAUGCUAAUCUGACCAUCACCGACCAACAUUCUCAAACCUCAACUCAAAUUAUUAACUCAUUCAAAUAGCAUCAUAUGUAAGUUGCCUUACAAUAACACAUCACACCCAUGAUGCUUGUCAAUAACAAUAGCUAUAAAUAACAUAAUCUCAGCACAUCCCCAGUUUAACGACCCGUCAACAAACUUAAACUGCACCAUAUCAUUGCAGGAUACUUAAACACAACUCAGCUAAACUACCCAUUCAAAACUUGGCUCAUAUCACUGUUAAAGUUUUAACUCUCGUUCAUGAUUGCAUCAACCCAAAUUAACUAUCAUAACUGAUUCAAGUAAUUUCAAUACAUGGUCUUCAAUUAAAAAUUGCAAUCCUGUUGAUAAUUCUAGCAUGUCAAUUUUUUAUUUUAGCCAUAUAGUCAUGUAAUCAAAUGGCUAACCACACACCCACUUCGUUAAUUAUUAAAGGAAGCAAUUAAGCCAUUAACACAUUAAAUCUAAGCAAAAUAACUUAUGAGGACCCCCCUCCCCCCCCCCCCCCCCCCCCCCCCCCCCCGGCGGAAGCAAAAAAAAAAUUAUCAAGCAGGAAAAACAACCUGAUUUUUCAGUUUUGAGUAACAAAAUCACUCGAUUGCACAUAAUAGCAUUUCUUUUUUCUACUUGCUGCUGUUCUCAGCUCCCUUAGGUGCACAACUACUCUCUCUAAAACCCAAUUGCUCUCUUUCCCUCCAUUUCCUUUUCUUCCUCUUCUCUCUUUUUUAAUUUUUUAUUUUCUUCUGUUACAUGAGUUCCUUUCUCAUCAAUUAGUGUGGAGAAAAACGAAAACAGGAUAAAUUUCGACGCAAAAUUUUAUUAGUAUGCGUAUGUAAGUACAUUAUCGAAUACGCCUUAAACAACUGCCUUUUUUUCCUGCAAUAAUCACACUAUAUAUAACAAAUAAUACAACAAAAUAAUAGAAGUUUAAGUAGAACGGCAGUAUCUAGGUUGUCUCUGUACUCGGCUUCCAGUUCCACCCAAAAAACUGCUCAAACAUCUUCGUUCAGGUAACCAACCACAGACUCUGUUAUUGCCAUAACUAAUUUAUCACAUGACCAUAAUUUCCAGAACACCUUGCGCUUGUUCAAUGGGUUGUUCAACUUGAGGGCGAGCUAGCAGAUGCGCGUUGACAGAGGCGACAGUGAGACGUCGAAGCCAGUUGAAGCAGCGCUCAAACAGAGAAGCUAGCGUUGCAUAACAGAGUGAUAAGAUUAUGAGGCAUAAAUAGAGUACCAAGAACAGAGACGGAGCCAAAAUGACAGAGGCCACUGCUGAGACAGCCAACAGAACAGAGAGUUCUCCACAACUCACGCAAAUGGGUCGGCUCACAUUGAGAGGGACUCUGAUGGGUGUGAGGAGGAAGAGCAGUAAUGGGAUGACGACGGCAGGAAUCAGGAACCAGAACUGAAGCUUUAAAAUUGGAUACAAAAGUAUCUUACUCGUACCAUCUUGGACGUCCCAAGAGUUGCCAUCCUGAGACUUGAGGAACAGAAAAAAGAUUAUAAGAUUCAGCAAUGGAAGAAAUAGAAACCUCAAAUCGAUUGAAAUAUUCAUGCUUAUGAGUAUAAGACUUGGCAGAGAUGAUUGAGUUUAAUUUUUAUGAAUAAGAUUUGGCAAUGGCAGAGUUAAACACAGGCUGCCUUUUGCUUCCUCUCUCUCUUCUCUCCGCUUUUUUUCUCCUCUCUCUCUCUUCUCUCAACACAUGCUUUCUUAGCAUUUAGCAUUUUUGUUUCUAAAAUACGGUGAGUCUGGGGGCAUUUUUAUAGAGGUUUUGGGAUGAAAUCUUUUUGCAGCCAAUGCCAAAAAAAUUAGAGGUUUGGACAAAGUGAAAAAAAAGAAAGAAGUGCAAAGCCAAAUGGAGCCAUGCAUGUGAGAGUGGGACGACCCAAGACAUUUUUUCGAUCCUUUGAGUUAGUGGGAGAAAGAGAUUAGCCUCCUCCGCAUUAAGAUUUGAAGAUUCCGUUGGUUUGACUGAUUCAGCACAUAACAUGCUUAAAUUGCAAAAGCUGUCAAUUCACAUUAACAAGGAAAAUUAACUCAAUAAAGUGAAGUAGGCACGAAUUAGAGUGAUUUUUAAAAUGCGGUGAGUCGGGGGCUUUUUAUCGUGGUUGAGGUCCAUGAGGAUGAAACGUUAUUGGUUCGAUACACGUCUUCAAUAAUAUUUGCGGAACCAAUUAGGAAGAUAAUGGAGUCGGGGAUUUUGGGGCUGAAUUUUUCCCUUUUUUUCUUAAUUUUGUUUUUACUGUGUGUCACGUGCAAAACACGUGAGACUAUUAAAAUUUCAAAACAGUUGUUUCAGUCUUCUAGGGUUUUAAAAACCUCAGUACGUUUUUUUUUUCCUUUUUUCUGUACAGGUAUUUUUAAACUUACCUUUUCAAAGUUUAUAUAUAUUUUGCACACUGCGCACAAAAUAUAUAUGAACGAAUGAUACAUGUUCCAAUAAAUAGAUGCACCUAACAAAUUAGAACUAUUCAUGAGAUGCAAAUUAAGUUAGUGUUAGAGAGAAAUAUACUGAGACUAAACUACAAUUAUGUGUAAUUAAUUAAGCUACCUUUGUUUUCAUGUUAGCGUGACCAAAAUGAGAUUAUGCACAACAAGUAUAACUAUAUGAAACAAAGUGAUAUAAUAAUAAAUGCCAACCAUAUUAUAUGUACAAGUUUUCUGUGCCAAUAUCACUAGUGGCAUGACCAAAAACACCGACAUACACAAUAAUCUCUCAAAGGAAAGAUUGUCAAAUUUCUUCAUUAAAUUCAGAUUAAAGUAAAUUAUAAAUUUUUUAACUUAAUAAAACCCACUUAAUACACACAUAUAAAUAUUAUAUGCUUACAGUACAAUCAUUUUUUGGACUUUCUCUUAUGGGCUAUUUUUUUUUUUUUGGGAUAAAUUUAUGGGCUAUUCAUUAGUUGCUUGGGUUCCUCUAUGAUGUUAUAUUUUUUUUUGCAAUAUCAAUAAUGUAAGAAAUAUGUACCAUUAUUUUUAUUAAUAAAAAUUUAUAUAAUUUCCAAAAAAUUAAAGGUUUGGACAAAAUAAAAAGCGAUUAGAAAAGAAAAUAGAAAAAAAUACAAAGCCAAUGGGACCAAACCUCCAAAGAUAUGUUUUUCCAUUCUCAUCCAACACCUUCCCAUUUGUUUAUUAUUUUUUUAUUAAUUUAUUAACUUUUUUAAUGGGGAGGAGGCUGAUGCCUCCCACUAACUCUUUCUCGAGGAAGCUAAGCUAGCUGCAUAAGUAUCCGCUAAGUUAAUAAAUUAAUAAAAAUAAUAAUAAACAAUUGAGAUGAUCAAAAGUUCAAAAUUUCUUACCAUCGCACAUGCAAGAUGAUCAAUAUUUCCAUCGCUCAGUAUAUGUAUACGUAGGUAGCAUUCACAUUUUAAAUUAGUGUGAGAAUCUUAGAUUAUCUCCAAAAGACUCUUUAAAUAAAAUUAUACUUCUUAUUUGAAGAGUCAUAUCAAUAUUAAAUACUUCAAAAGACACGUUAAUUUAAAUUCUUCAAAUAAGAUUUGUUUCUUUCUCUUCAAUAUUGACGAGUGAAUUUCUCUCUCUUCUAUUAAUAUUUUUUUAUUAUUUAUUGAAAAGAUAAGACUGUAAUAAUUAUUAUUUAUGUUUCCUUUCAAAAACAUAACAGCAAUUCAAUUUAAUAGUAGAAAGAUUUAAUUAAAAUAAUAUUAACUUAUUCUUAUUUGAUGAGUCUUUUGGAAGAAAUUGUAUUUUUCAAUCCACUUAUUUGCCACAUCAGUAAGCAAAUUGAUAUUUGAAAAGUAAAAUCUAAAAAGUCUUUUGGAGAUGCUUUUAGAUUUCAGAGUGUAGAGAGGGGUGGGAGUGAAUUGUUUAUUUUCACUCUGAAAUGAGAGUAUGAAAUCGAAAUUAGAAUUCAAUUUUUGUGUUUUCCUUAUCUUAAAUUGGGAGUAAAUAGUUUCAAAUUACAGUUUUACUUUUAUUUAAAAAAUUAUAAUUUUUAAAUACAAAAUUAUAAAAAAAUAUAUUUGAAAUAUAAAAUAUUUAUUUUUAUUUUAUUUAUUUGUAAAUUUACCUAUGUUUAGAAAAAAAAAAAAAACUAUUAACUGCCCUCAGCAUAUAACAUACAACAAGCUGUCAAUUCACAAAAACAAGGAAAAUUAACUCAAUCAAGUGAAGUAGGCCACAAAAAGACCUCUAAAAUCGAAUCAGAUUUAGUUAAAACAAAUAAUCACCCAUCAAUCAUAAGCAAAAGCCAAAAAGAAAUGAAUAACAGAAAGAAAUUUCUUAUAAAAAUUCAAUACAAAUAAAAAACAAAUUAGCUAGUCUUCUUUUUUGGUAUAGUGAUUUCGUCAGCAAAUAAGACAAAAAUUGAAAUUCCGAAAUAUACCUAGGAUUUCUAGCUUUGGAAAUUUACCUUACAAGAAACCGGGCUCUCUGCUUCUGGCUUUGUCUUUGUAACGUUACUAUUGUGGACGAGCCACUCCGAUCAGCUGAGAUGAUCGCAUUUUGCACCGGCAACGAUGCAAAUGUUUGGGUUUGGAUUUGACGAUAGACGGAGGAAUGCUUAGGGUUUUGUGUGAAUUUUUGGAAUUUUUUAUCGAAGUGAAAAUAUCAAAAUAACCUUUACACAUUUAAUAUUCAGGGUACUUAUACAGUUAAAUUUUUCUUUAGAAUUAAAACAGAAUAUAAACUGAGACUCAGAAUUUUAUUAAUAUACCGUUGUUCGUUUGGACCAUAAUACAAAAACCAAAAUAAAUAAAUAAAUAAGAAUAUAGAGUGUGUCUGCUACUGCUAAAAAUGCUUUUCAAACAAAAGCCGAAAACAGCAACUAAGCUUUUACAGACUAUAUAUAUAUAGAUCAUUGUAAUAACUAACUAGAAAAUGGAAAGUUAGCAUAUAUUCAUAAAACACUCUUAGUUCUACCCUAUGUUAUUUUAUUAGGCAGGGUUUAUUUACGAAAUAAUAUAAUUUUAAACAUUUUAUUGGGUGUAUUUUAUAGCUAAGAUGGGAUGGAAAUAUUACUAAAACACUCGUGGCACUGGCACCAGCAAAAUCAUACACUUUAAUAGGUACUAGGGCCUAACAGUGGCACCAGCUAUUUCAUACAUACAUACGUAUAUAUUCUCAUCUUCAUCAGUUGGACUUGGCUGCAGGUUUUGGAUGUGGUUCCCUUCUACUCCAAUAAUGUUCUCUUCAUCAACUUGAUUCCCGUUCGCACAUGCAGUUGAUCACGAUCAAGAUUGUGCGAGUAAUGGGUGUUAUUACUGUGAGAUUUCGGAGCCAAUGGAAAAUGUUAUUACAGUAUGAUCAAUAUGAAUUGACCAAGAUUCUUUUGCGGGUUGGCGAGAUGCUUUUGGCAAGCCCCACCCAGUCUUUGCCCACUCAUUUUUGUUUAAAUUAAAUUAAGUAAUUAUUUAAUCAACCUAUUGAGUACAAAGGGCAAUUUGACUUGAUUCUCCUUUUGUUGUGGCUAAGACGUAUUGCACAAGCUUCUUCUUCUUCUUCUUCUUUUUCAAGUUGUAUUGCGAGCUCUUAAUAUAAUCACAAACUUUUUUUACAAAUUUAUUAAUUUAUUUUCUUCCUUUUUUUUUUCUUUUCUUUUCUUUCUCUCUCUCUCUCUCUCUCCCGGGACUGGGGAGCUUGGGUUUUAUUUAGUUUUAUAGCCUAUAGAUAUAAUAUUGAGUAGUGAUAGGUUUUGACCUUGAGUGCUAAUCAGUGGGGAUCAAUAUUAAUUAAUCAAGAAUCUUUACAAAAAGCAUCGACUCCCAUUGGUUCCUCGGGUUGGGGAAGUGCUUUUGACAAGCCUCGCCGAGUCUCCGCGACUCCGCCCACUAAUUUUUGUUUAAAUGAAAUUAAGUAAUUAUUUAAUUAACCUAUUGAGUACAAAAGACAACUGGAUUCUCCUAUGUUGUGACUAGGUUGUGUUGCACGAGCUUAGCUUAACUUUAAUGACUCUAAUUUAUAAACAGAUGCUAGUAACAAUAAUAUAUUACUUUCCAAUUCGAAGUGGAGCCUUCGAAGGCAACAGCUUUUUCAAUUUUAUAAUUAUAUACUCUCAAAAUAAUUUUGAUAAAAAAACAGGUUGCUUUUAUAUACUGUUGAUGACAAGCGUUGUGCCGUCUUCUUCGUUGAGAAGAAUUGGACCGUAUUGCAAUGCCUUCUGGUUUUCUCUUUCCAAGUUCAACUUCUUUGUCGACAAUAAUUCUUACAGAACAAAAACGAAAAAAAAAAAUCAAAUAUAGCGUUAGGGCUUCAAGGGAUUCUCCAUGGAGUGAUCUUUAAAUAAAAAACAAGCGCCACCCUCCGUUUGAUUUCUCCUGAAGAAAAGAUUUGAUCGAUUUUUUCUUUCUUUUUCACCUUUACUCUUUUUUAAAAAAAUUUCUUUCUUUGCUUAAAAAAUGUUUUGCCUACAGCUGGAACCGAACAUUUAAAAUUUAAAGAGUGCAUGUUAAGGUAUUAAUUUUUAUUACCUUGUAAUCUAGUGAUGGCAGACAUAUUAAUUCAUGAAAUCGAAGAAUCUUGUGGAAUAUUGACUUGUGGAUUUGAUCCUGAUCCGGUGGCUUAUUGGGAAAUAUCUGAAGUUGUUUGGUCCACUAAUCUUAGCUUUAGGAUAAGUAGUGAAAAUUUCUUCUUCGGUCAUGAAUUAAGAUCCAAUCAUAUAGCAUAUUCGAUCUGACUGUACCAUAAGCAUAUGUGUGUGUGUAUUAAUGACUGGAGUUCAGUUAAUGACUGCAAACUCAGCAACCGAUUCCAAGAAUGAGCUUUGAAAGAAUCCCAAUUUGUCAAAAUGUGACUGUUGAGAAGUUUCUUUUGAGUAGAUUAACCGAGAAGACCGUAGGCAAUUACCUGUAUACAUCUAUUUAUUGAAACUUUAAUUACCUGAGGAUUAACGGAAAAAUGAAUAUACAUUGCAUUUAUAAAUAAUCGUUUUCCCUCUGAUAACUUGAAAAAUACAAUAAUUUAAUCCAUUGUCUAUUUGUAAUAAAUAAUCUAUUUUCUAAAUACGUACGGCGUUGUGGAAAGUUGAACCGUAUUAUUUUAUGCAAUUAACCCAAUACAUCAAAAUACAUAUAUAAAACAUGUGGACACUAUUUUAAGAGAUUGAUUGAGAAAUUUGGUAUAAUUUUAGGCAAUUAAAUAAAUAUUUUUGAAAUUUACAUGUGUUUUGGGAGAUAAUUGUUGUGUAAAUCAGUGCUCGCGCAUGUAUAAAAUUAAUCUCCAUUACCUGGGAAGUUUCUUGGGGUGACACAAGUGGAUAUACACUAUUCGUGAUGUGCAAGACAACAUGAUGAACAGUGAACUCGAAACUCAAAGUGAUACAAGUCGUUUAGAGGUUACAAGCUCAGAUGACAUGUCGCUUGAGGAGUUCUUCAGAGCAAAACCGACAUAAACUCAUUCAUCACUCAAAACUUAAGUAAUACAUGUGGUUUGCACGUGUGUUAAAGCUGAAUCUCAUUUAGAUCAAGAACGACGUCUGUGAUUGCCGUUUUAAGCUCACUUAUGUUAGCUUGUGAUAUGCAUGUGAGAGAGGAGCAUCUUGGUUGGAUUUGGCAGGAAGGGUGGUUAGCCUAACAACCCAAAAACAGAGGUUAAAAGGUGCAAGCUCUGCAAUCAUCUCCAUUAUUGGGAAACACUGAGAGUAGAGAGAAGAUAGAGAGAGAAAUGGGUUAAUUAGUUAUUGUUCUCUGUAAACCAUCUUUUGUUCUUGUAUUGUUUCGAUCUCAUUAAAGUGAAAGUUAUUGCUUUGUUUCCAGUGGAUGUAGGCACCACUUCUUGGUGCUGAACCACUUAUAUUUGGUGUCAUUUUGUUUCUUUUAAAGCUUUGAUUCUUGUGUGUGAUUCUUGUUGUGUGAUAUGUGUUGAUUGGUCUUGGAUCCUUGAUACAAAAUUACUUCUUGGGGUGAAUUUGGUUAGCCUUAUAAGGUUAAAUUCUCAACACAGCAUUAUCAGGAAAACAUGAGAAAUUUUAGAAUACCUCAGAUGUACUACAACCAAUUGAUGCAUGCAUGACAUGUGUAAUUGAUUUUAAUACAAUCACUACUUGCAUGAUAGUGGUUCAAAAUAAAUGCACACAUGUCAUGACAUCAUUGCUUAUUGUAUGGAUGACAUGAUACCUCAUAUGUAUUUUAGAAUUUCUCGGAAAACAGAUAUGCCAAUUAGUAAUCUUGUGUGUGUAAGAUUUCAAGAUAGUUUCAUGUAGAAUUUAAUGGUUAUGUGUUUCUUCGGCUCCUUCCUCAAAUCCAGCACAAUGGCAUAGUCACAUGCAUGAAGAUUUUGGAGUCUUUGGCUGCACAAUUUUUCUGGACUUUAAUUUGAAUUAGUUAUUGGCUUUUUUAUAUUGCUCUUUAAUCGGCUUUUUCAGAUUAAAUAUUUCUGUAUUAGUUUUCGAUUAACAUAGUCCUGGCCUCCUGGGAAGUUAUGGUACUAAUCAGAUUCUUUUGUCAACAUUUGACAAUUUCUUUUUCAAAGCUUGAGUUUUGAGGGUUUAUAGCUUUGAGUUGUGGAAUCAAUGAAAGAAGAAAUUAAUGUAAGAAGAAUAAUUAAAUGGGUACUCUCUUAGCCCCUUUAUCUGGUUAUAUAAAGAUUUUUUAAUACAUUUUUGGUGUGGCUAGUUAUGCUUGAAGUUGUUCUACAGUGUCUCGCUUGAAAAGUCCGAUACAAAAAAUUAAAAAGAAUCAUCUUCAUCAAUUUAGUAGAAAGCGACAGUUUGACAACUUAUUAUUAUAUUCUCCAAAUGCAAAUAAAAUUUGCCGCCUAAAUAAAAGUGGCAGCAAACUGCUUUUUUUUUUUAAUAUUAAGAAAAGACCUUACCCCUUCAGCACAUUCAUCUUUUAAACCGUAAGUAAUCAUCCUAGAGGAUGCAUCGUGGGACCUUCGCUGAUCGCUGAGUGUAUUGACUCAAAAAAGAACUCUUAAAUUCAUUACAGGUUUCAUAAGAUCAAAGCUGAGGGUAGAUUAAUUGAACAUAUAAACUAAGCUUGCUGUGACUAUUAAAAAUAUGUUCAUGACAUUAUACUCACAGAAAUUUAUUAAGGCAGUCAUAAUUUUGCCAUUUAUGUAUAGAAUAUUGAAAAUUAUUGAAUUUCAUUUAAAAAAAGGGUUAAAUUAUAGAAUUUCAUUUCAAAAAAAGUCAAAUUAAACUUAUCAUAAAACAACCUUAACUAUCAAUCCAAGAUCUAAGUGACUAAAAAAAGAUUAUGAGAAUAAUUUAAAUGAUUAAUUAUCAAUUCUUUUUUAUAUGUAAAAUUGGUAUUGUACAAGUUAAUUAUAAUUAACUAACGGAAAUGUAGUAAAAUAUAGGGUUUAUUAGAGAUAUUUAACAAUUCCUAAAGUAUUAUGGUAUAAAAUGUUAUACCCUAAUAUUUCAUGCACCGAUUUAUUUUACAAUUUCUAAAAUAGUAAAAUGAAUAUAACGCAUAAAAUUAAUUAAAUUAUUAACAUAGCUUCUGUCCUUUAUAGUAAUUUCAUUAGAUGUUUCAUGAGAUCAAAGUUUUGAGGGUGAACUAGUCAAAGAAAAUGGUUGUGGAUGGUUAUAACAUUUGACCAAAAAUAAUAUUAUUAUUUGGUUGGAGCCAUAGUAGGGUAGGCCCAGUCCCAGUCCCUUGCGCCCGCUCCGGUAAUUGGCAAGACAGUCUGCCAUGCAAGCAAGCGAAGGAGGAAAAUGUGAGGUAUUUUUACAUCACUUGCCAAAUGUGUAAUAUUUGCUUACUUGGACUUCAAAGUCAGUAGUUUAAUGAAAUUGGAACAUUUUCGAGAUUUAGGAUUGUCUCCUAACCUUAUCUUCUUUUGAGUAAAUUUUAUUAAUAUGAUUGGUGGUUAAUAAAUUAAAAAAUAAAGGUAGUUAAUAGAUAUUAAGUAGGUUAUUGGGUAACAAUUAUUUUUCUGUAUUGGAUUUGAGUCUUAAUAUUUUGACACGAUUAGUAAAUGGGUUAAAUUUGGGUUAAACUAAAUUUGACACAACACGAACAUGAUCUAAUAACCCGUUUUGCUAGCUUUAGCCAUAAGAUGUGAAUUUUGCUAAGGAUAUUAUCUCAAACAGGAGGGAAAUAGUAACUAGGGUAACAAUAUAAACAUGAGGAAUUUUCUAUUUUUGAAGUAGUUCUUGGGUUGAAUUAGACCGUGGGUUUCUAAAGUCUAAAAAUCCCAAUAAAUUCAGCCCCACAUACAAAGGCUUACCAAAUUCAAAGAAUUUUUAUGAGUGAUUGUCGUGUAAAUGAGUGAUUGCAGACGUACAAAAUGAUCUCUAUUAACUGGGAAAUUUCUUGAAGUGACACAAGUGGAUAUAAUAUUAUAUUAUUCAUGAUGUGCAAGACAAAAUUAUCGAGAAAACAGAUGUGCCAGUUAAUAAUGAAGAACUAGCAGUUGAAGAUGACCAAAGAAUUUUUAUGUGUGUGAGAUUUCAAAGAUAAUUUCAUGCAGAAUUUAAUGGUUAUGUGUUUCUUUGGUUCCUUACCCAAAUCCAGCACAAUGGCAUAGUCACAUGCAUGAAGAUUUUGGAGUCUUUGGCUGCACAAUUUUUCUAGACUUUAAUUUGCAUUAAUUAUUGGCUUUUUUUUUUGUAUUGCUCUUUAAUCGGCUCUUUCAGACAAAAUAUUUAUGUAUUAGUUUUCGAUUAACAUAGUCCUGCCUUCUGGGAAGUUAUGAUACUAAUCAGAUUCUUUUAUAUAAUGUCAACAUUUGAUUCUCAUUUUGGCUCCAUCACUUUUCUUGGUGGCCUAUUUGCGGUUCACAAUCUUAACAUUCUGUUAUGCCGUGUUAGCUUCUCUGUUUAAGCUCUGCUUCAACUUGUUUCGACGUUUCGCUGUCAUGGUUUCGUUCACUAAUUAUUUUCAAUAAACCAAUUAAUUAAUAUAUAUAUAUAUACAUGUUGUCGUCGUUUCUAUGAAAGUUUAAGCAGCUAGCAGUUUCUGGAGUCAGUUCAGUCAAAGACUCGAAGCCUAGCAGCGAUCGAUUAAAGAUGCUGUGGUUGCUUUAGUAUUUUUCUAAUUUAAUUAGAAAUCUGCUGUAUAAUAAUUUCUAACCAGCAGCCAUGGAAAGUUGCAAACAACAAUAUAUCUAUAAAAGCUGUUACAGAUUUAAUGCCCCGGGUAUAUAAACGGUUAUUUUUCCUUUAGCAUAAAAAUUUAGACACAGAAUUUAAUCAAAUAUACCGUUGAUCAUUUGAACAGUAAUGCCAAAAAAAAGGAAAAAAAAAAAAGAAUCUAGCGUGCUUUUCAAACAAACGCCGAAGGUAGCAACGAAGCUUUCACAGCAAAACUGCUAAAACUUGGUCGGGUAACAACAGACUAAUGUUAUUUUAUUAGGCACUAGGACCCUACGGUGGCACCAGCAACAUCAUAUAUAUAUAUAUUCUCAUCGUCAUCAUCAGUUGGACUUGGCUGCAGGUUUUGGAUGUGGUUCCCUUCUGCUUCAAUAAUGUUCUCUUCAUCAACUUGAUUCCCGUUCGCGCAUGCAGUUGAUCGCGAUCAAGAUUGUGCGAUUAAUGGAUGUUGUUACUGUGAGAUUUCGGAGCCAAUGGAAAAUGUUAUUACAGUAUGAUCAAUAUGAAUUGAUCAAGAUUCUUCUGCGGGUUGGCGAGAUGCUUUUGGCAAGCCCCACCUAGUCUUUGCCCACUAAUUUUUGUUUAAAUGAAAUUAAGUAAUUAUUUAAUUAAUAUAUUGAGUACAAAGGGCAAUUUAAUUCUCCUUUGUUGUGGCUAAGAUGUAUUGCACGAGCUUAUCUUAACUUUAAUGACUGUAAUUUAUAAAAUUAAUUAUAACCUAAGCAAACGUGGACAAGGGAUUUGUGGUUAUGUAUAUUUCAGUUUUUUUUUUAAAUCAAAGAAAAUCUCAAAUAAUUUAUAAGGAUUUUAUCUUUGAAGAAUGAUAAACUCUUAUCUAUAUAAAAAAAGAGAUUUUAUGGUGAAUUAAAAAGUUUGUUAAUGCUAAAACAAAAAGAGGGUUUAAAAUUAGAGAAUAAUGAGUUUAUAAUUAUGUUCGUAUUUUGAGAAUACUAAAUAAAACGUGAAAAUCAUUUAUAGUUAUUCCUGAAUUUAUAGAAAUACAAAUAAAAUAUUAAUUGUGGAAUUAAAAAUGAGUUCAUUUAUAACUGAUAUGGGGUUUAUAUAAUUUCAAGUGCGAUAAUAUAAUCACAGACUCCCAAACUUAUUAAUUUAUUUUCUUCCUUUUUUUAUUCUUUCUUUCUCUCUGCCGGCACUCGGGAGCUUUGGUUUUAAUUAGUUUUAUAGCCUAUAGAUAUAAUAUUGUGUAGUGACAUGUUUUGACCUUGAGUGCUAAUCAGUGGGGAUCAGUAUUUAAUUAAUCAAGAAUCUUUACAAAAAGCAUCGACUCCCAUUGGUUCCUCGGGUUGGGGAAGUGCUUUUGUCAAGCCCCACCGAGUCUCCGCGACUCCGCCCACUAAUUUUUGUUUAAAUGAAAUUAAGUAAUUAUUUAAUUAACCUAUUGAGUACAAAGGACAACUGGAUUCCCCUAUGUUGUCGCUAGGUUGUGUUGCACGAGCUUAGCUUAACUUUAAUGACUCUAAUUUAUAAACAGAUGCGAGUAACAAUAAUAUAUUACUUUCCAAUUUGAAGUGGAGUCUUCGAAGGCAACUGCUUUCUCAAUUUUAUAACUAUGUACUCUCAAAAUAAUUUUGAUACAAAAACAGGUUGCUUUUAUGUACUGUUGAUGACAAGCCUCGUGCCGUCUUCUUCGUUGAGAAGAAUUGGAACGUAUUGCAAUGUCUCUGGUUUUCUCUAUCUGAGUUCAAUUGAAGUUUAACCAAGCUAUUUAUGCUUGUUUGGUUGCAGAGAAAAUGAAGGAAAAUUCAAUGAGCAAUAAGAAACUAUGAGAAAAAAUAGAUCGAAUUUUAUUCAAUGAAUUAUGAAUACAGAGGUUGAUCUUAUAUACUAAGAUCCAGAACCUUUUGCAUUGCUCACACACGUGUUGAGAGUGAGCUGUGAUUAACAAACUUCUCAGCUCUAUAACAAACUUACAAACUAACAAAUAACAACCUUGCUUACUCAGCUGCCACAUCAGCAGAAUCAUUACAAAAAUAUUCUUUAUAUUAUAACUCUAACAUCCCCCCUCAAGCUUGAUGUCGUGAAAGGACAUUAAGCUUGCUGCGCAAAUAAGCAAACUGAUCAAAACAGAGGGGCUUAGUAAGAACAUCUGCUAAUUGAUCUGAACUGGGAACAUAAGUAACUGAAAGCUGUUGUUGAGCAAUAUGCUCUCUGAGAAAAUGGAGGUCAAGCUCAAUAUGUUUAGUACGAGCAUGAUAUUUAGGAUUACUGGCCAAAGCUUCAGCACUCUUGUUAUCACAAUGCAGAAGAGGAAUCUAAUCAAAAGAUAUGUUAAGCUCUUGAAAUAAGUAUGUAAUCCAGAGAACUUCAGAGGUAGCCAUAGCAAGAGCUCUAUACUCUGACUCAGCUGAUGAUCUGGACACAAUAGGCUGCUUCUUAGAGGACCAAGAGAUGAGAUUGGAACCUAAAAACACACAAUAACCUCCAACAGAUCUGCGAUCAUCAGGAUCUGCUCCCCAAUCAGCAUCAGAGUAGGCAGUUAACUUUAAAGAACCAGAACUGAAAAACUGAAGACCAUAAUCAGCUGUACUUUGAAGAUACCGUAACACCCUCUUGCAAGCUUGCCAAUGAAGAAUGGUGGGAGCUGAUAAAAAUUGACUAAGCUUGUUGACUGUGAAAGCUAAGUCUGGUCGAGUUAACAGAACAUAUUGAAGAGAUCCCACAAUGCUUCUGUAUAAAGAUGGAUUUUCAAAUGCAGCACCUGUAUCCUUGUGCAGCUUCUCAGAAGUACUCAUAGGUAUAACACAACCUUUACUGUCCAGUAUAUUUGCCCUUUUAAGAAUAUCACCAAUGCACUUAGUUUGAGAUAGAUGAAUACCGUGAACAGAUGGAGUAACUUCAAUACCAAGAAAGUAAUGAAAAUCCCCCAGCUCCUUCAAGGCAAACUCAGAAUGUAAUUGCUGAAUAACAUUUCCUAUGAGCUUUGAAUCUGAACCCGUGACUAAAAUAUCAUCCACAUAAAUGAGAAUGAGCAAGAUAUAUGUCCCUGCAUGCUUAAUGAACAGAGAAGUGUCAGAUUUGGAGACUCGAAAACCCCAUUGAACUAGUGACUCCUUUAAUCGAUCAUACCAGGCUCUUGGAGCCUGUUUGAGACCAUAUAAGGCCUUGUUAAGCUUACAAACAAAAGAAGGGUAAGUGGAAUCAACAAACCCUUGUGGUUGAUGCAUGUACACAUCUUCAGUAAGAAUGCCAUUGAGGAAAGCAUUGUUUACAUCCAGCUGCUUAAUAGGCCAGUGAUGCAUGACUGCUAAGCUUAAAAUGAUUCUGACAGUACAAGGCUUGAUCACAGGGCUAAAUGUCUCAAAGAAAUCAACCCCAUAAGUUUGAUGAUAUCCCUUGGCAACCAACCGAGCUUUAUACCGAGAGAUGCUGCCAUCAGCAUUAUACUUAACUCUGUAAACCCACUUGUUGCCAACAAUUUUCCCAGCUGAUUCAGGAGGCACUAAAGUCCAGGUUUGAUUUCUUUGGAGAGCUUCAAAUUCUUCUUUCAUAGCUGAGUACCACCUAGGAUCUGUCAAUGCUGUUUUGACAUUGGAUACUGGUGGAGAAGAAUUUGAAGAUCUUGAGGGUUGAUCUAGAGAUUGUGAAUGAACAGAAUAGGAUCUGUCAAUGCUGUUUUGACAUUGGAUACUGGUGGAGAAGAAUUUGAAGAUCUUGAGGGUUGAUCUAGAGAUUGUGAAUGAACAGAAUGUGGCAAGGAAUGAGACUCUGAUGCAGGAGACAGAGCAGGACUGGAGACUGCAGCUGAUGGCUCUUCAUUGCUACUGUGACUAAGAACAGGUGUUUGAGGAAGAAAGAAAUGAACUGAAGAUGGAGUGGAGGUAGCAGAAUGAGAUAAGGUGUUGGACUUGGUUUUCAAAAACAGUUCAGAAUAUGGAAAUUCCAGUUCAUUGAAAGUAGCAUGUCUGGCAACAAAGACUUUCCCAGUUCGAUCAAGACACUUGUAGCCAUUAUGAAUGGGGCUAUAACCAAUGAAGACACACUUUUGAGUAUGGAAAUCUAGCUUGUGAUGAUGAUAAGGUCGAAGAAAAGGAAAACAGGAACAGCCAAACACUUUAGAAAACUUGUAAUCUGGAAGCUGAUUGUAUAGUUUCUGAAAAGGAGAUAAAUUGUUUUGAACAGGUGUUGGCAUUCUAUUCACUAAGUAAGUGGCUGUAUGAAAAGCUUCCCACCAAAAAGAGAGAGGUAAAUGAGCUUGAGCUAAGAGUGUGAGUCCAGUUUCAACAACAUGCCUAUGCUUCCUUUCCACCACACCAUUUUGAUGGUGAGUGUGGGGGCAACUAUAUCUAAAUUGAAUACCCUCUUGUUGGAGAAAUGAUCUGAAGGCUAUAAACUCACCCCCCAUAUCAGUUUGUAGUGUUUGGAUGGAUAAAGAAAACUGUUUUUCGACAAGAGAUUUGAAAUAUUUGAAGGUGUCUAAUGCCUCAGAUUUGAGUGUGAGUGGAAAUACCCAACAAUAUCUUGUGAAAUCAUCAACAAAAGAAAUAUAGUACUUGUAUCCAUCCAUAGACAACACAGAAGCUGGACCCCAUAAGUCAGCAUAUAAGAGUUGGAGAGGAAAUUUUGAUUUUAUAUUAGUGACUGGAAAAUGGAAUUGAUGUAAUUUACCAUAUUGACAAGCAUCACAAAAAUUAAGAGAUUGAGAAUGGGUUGAAUGCAUAGGAAGACUUUUCAUUAUUGUUUGCAAGACAUGUUUGGUUGGAUGACCAAACCUAUUGUGUAGCAACUGCAUAGACUGACUACUGGAAGCUAUAAAACUGACAUAAUUCUCAUUAUUGGAAUUGAUCAAAUUUGAACAGACAUUUGUUUGGUGAUUCAACUCUUUCAAAGAGUGUACAUUCUCUUUAUUAGAAAAAACAGACAACAUUGAACUAGGUUUGAGACCCAAGGCUUUAGAAUCAGAAAGAGGUGUAUCUUGAGUCAGUAGCUUAAAGAGACCAUCCUCAGCAAUCCCUUGUGCCAGCAAAGUUCCUUGCAUCUUGGCCUUAAUGAAACAAAGAUUAGAAACAAAUUCAAUGAUUAUAUGAUUGUCAGAGAGAAGUUUAGAUAAGCUAAUCAGAUUCUUGGUAAUUUUGGGCACACACAGAACAUUGGAAAUGUUUAAUUGAUUACCAAAGGAUGUAAGGAGACAUAUAUUGCCUAUAGAAGUAAUUCUAAGACCUUGUCCAUUACCAACUAAUAGCAACUGAGAUCCAAGAUAAGGUGUACCUUCAGCUAGGUUCUCCAUAUUGUUUGUGAGAUGAUGUGUUGCUCCACUAUCCAGAUACCAUCCUUGGUCAACAACUCCUUCUGAUGUAGCCAUGAAAGCAGCUUUGGAAGUUUGAUUCUGAUCUGGAAAGUUUCCUUGCACAGAAAAAUUAGGAACAAAAUUUCUGUUAAAUCUGUCUUUGCAAUCAGCUGCAGUAUGAUUGUGUUUGAAACAAAUCUGACAAACAAUAUUUCCUUUGCCUCCUCCUCUUCCAAAUCCAUUAUAGCCACCAGGAAAUCUACCAGAAAAAUUUCCAGCAGCACCAGCAAAAUUGCCUCUACCCUGAUUUCUAUUCCAGUUAUUCCAAUUAUUAUUCCAUUGUCCUCUACCUGAAUUUUGUCCCCUUCCUGGAUUGAAACCUCCUCUGUUUGUAAAGUUUCCAUUCCAGUUAUGAAAUCCAGGUUUGUUUCCAGUGUUUCCAUUCCAGCCUCCUUGACUAUUAUUAUUCCAGCCUCCCUGAUUGUUAACUUUCUUUUGAUUAUUCUCAGCCUGAGCUAAGUUAGCAGCAUAGUUCUGUUUCACUUCUUUGAAAGAAUUAGAUUGAUUGCUUUCUAAACGUGCCUCAUGUGUCAACAACAUUGAAUAAGCCUCAUUAAUACUCAUUUUUAGAACAUUUGCUUCAAUAUACACAACUACUGGAUAAUAAGGCUGACCUAAUCCAGAGAUGAGAUGAGUUAUAAAAUCCAAAGAACUAACAGGACUUCCAGCAAUAGCAAGCUCAUCUGUAACUGACUUCAACUUACUAAAAUAUUCUGUCAUAGUCAUAGAUCCUUUCUUCAGAUUAUUCAACAUCAUUUUGAGAUGAACUUUCUUAGCAGCAGUUUAAGAUCCAAAUUGUUGCUCUAAACUAGACCACAGUUCAUAAGAGGUUUUAGAGUUUACCACAAGGCUGAGGAUUUCAAUGCUGAUAGAGGAUAGCAGCCAGCUCAGCAGCAUCUGAUCUUGCUUCUUCCACACAUGAAACUCAGGAUUCUCUUGUGAAGUAACAGUUGAACUUGCAGAAGCAAUGAACAUAGCAUCUGAAUUUCCUUGAGUGCUUGAGAGAAAUUGAUCUGGACAGAUUCUGGAUCCAUCAAGCAAACUCUCAAGCUCAUUUGCUCGAACUGAGGAUAGAAUUUGAGAUUUCUAGAUUGAGUAAUUUGAUCGAUCAAGUUUUAUUGGAGUUGUGAAAGUAAAGGUUGUUGCUGAAGAAGAGAUGUUUGUGGUCAAGCUUGAUAAUGCCAUGAGAUUAGACUAGAUGUGGCUCUGAUACCAAAUUGAAGUUUAACCAAGCUAUUUAUGCUUGUUUGGUUGCAGAGAAAAUGAAGGAAAAUUCAAUGAGCAAUAAGAGAAACUAUAAGAAAAAAUAGAUCGAAUUUUAUUCAAUGAAUUAUGAAUACAGAGGUUGAUCUUAUAUACUAAGAUCCAGAACCUUCUGCAUUGCUCACACACGUGUUGAGAGUGAGCUGUGAUUAACAAACUUCUCAGCUCUAUAACAAACUUACAAACUAACAAAUAACAACCUUGCUUACUCAGCUGCCACAUCAGCAGAAUCAUUACAAAAAUAUUCUUUAUAUUUAUAACUCUAACAAGUUCAACUUCUUUGUCGACAAUAAUUCUUACAUAACAACAACGAAAAAAAGAAAAAAGAAAAAUCAAAUAUAGUGUUAGGGCUUCAAGGGAUUCUCCAUGGAGUGAUCUUUAAAUAAAAAACCAGCACCGCCCUCCGUUUGAUUUCUCCUGAAGAAAAGAUUUUAUCGAUAUUUUCCUUCUUUUUCACUCUCACUCUUUUUUUGAAAAAUUUCUUUCUGUACUUAUCAAAAGUUUUGCCUACAGCUGGAACCGAACAUAUAAAAUUUAAGGAUGAUUUAGAAUGUAUGUUAAGGUAUUAAUUUUUAUUACCUUGUAUUCUAGUGAUGGCAGACCUAUUAAUUCAUGAAAUCGAAGAAUUCUGAAGUUGUUUUGGUCCACUAAUCUUAGCUUUAGGAUAAGUGCUGACAAUUUCUUCUUCGGUCAUGAAUUAAGAUCCAAUCAUGUAGCUAGUAAAACAAACAUUCUGUAACUAAUUAGCCUAUAACAGAUUCGAUCUGACUGUACCAUAAGCAUAUGUAUAUGUGUAUUAAUGACUGGAGUUCAAUUAAUAAUUGCAAACUCAGCAAUAAAUAAUCUGUUAAUGGAUUCUGAUGUGUGUUCGUAGUGGAUUUACGAUGGUACUCAAAGUUCUCCAUGUUGAAUGAAAUUUCAAUUUGUAUUGAUAAAUACAAAUGACUUGCACAAUACAAACGCGGGACCCAAGUGGCCAAAAAGUUUUUCAUUACUCGCUUUAUCUCGCACUAGAAAACAUUUACAGCAAGCCGAGGCCUAAUUAAGAAGACCAAAAGGUUCAUUACGAAUAUGAAACUACAAGUUUAAGAGGGGAGAUAAGCCCCUUGCCCACUAUCUUCUUGUCUCCUAUCGAGUCCUGCUAUCCCAUCAAUAGCACUCAAUUUGAAGCAGCCAAAAGGUGGCGCAAUUGGAUUCAACCCACAGAUUGCCUACCAUUACAUGUAUCAUCUCCGAACUGUGCCGUAAAAUGGGAAUCUUGUUGAGGAUAUUAUCUCAAGGAGAAUAGUAACAAGGCUAACAAUAUAAACUCGAGGAAUUUUUAAAUUUUGAGCUAGUUCUUGAACUUUUGAGUUGAAUUAGACCAUGUGUUUCUAUAAAUUUAAAAACCGCGAUUGGAUUCAGCCCGACUGACAAAGGCUUAUCAAACUCAUUUGAGACCAAAGCACGAUUACGAGAUCCCCGCAGAAAUCUUAUUUGUUAAUAGAGCAGAAAAUGGUUUGUUCAAGUGAGCAUGCUAAAGAUUGCUGGCAUCUUCCCCUCGUAAACCUGAAGAUAUGGCUAAUCUUUCAUAAAUGUUUGAGAUGCCAAAAGGCAGUAAAAGUUGUCUAAUAGGAAAUUUGAAAUGAGGAUGCUGUGAAGUCUCUUAUUUUUAGGAAUAGUUGGAUUAAGAUAAAGCAUGAAAUGAUUAUAAUUUUACUGAAGUUGCAGUUAGAAGUUUAUUGAUUUCUCGUGUUCUAUUUUCUAUUUUCUAUUUUCUAUUUCCUAAUUUUAUAUUUCAAUAAAAACAGUCGGUUUGUAUCACUCUCACUCUUGUUGAAUCAAAAAUCAAAAUCACUCUUUCUAAUUAAGACUGUGUCCAGUGCAAAAUAUAUUUAUUUAGAUAUCAUUCAACUUUAUCUAUUUAAAUUGUAAUAAAAACAUAUCCUUCAUUCAUAAUAGCGGCCAAGAUUCGCACAAAGGAACACCAGCUCGACUAUCGUGCAGGGAAAUAAUUGAUGACAAGAUUCUUACGUUCUAAACACGUACGGCAUUGUGGAAAGUUGAACCGUAUUAUUAUAUGCAAUUAACCCAAUAUAUCAAAAUACAUAUACAAAACAUGUGGACACUAUUUUGAGAGAUAAUUGAUUGAGGAAAUUCGGUAUAAUUUUAGGCAAUUAAAUAAAUCUUUUUGAAAUUUACAUGUGUUUUGGGAGAUAAUUGUCGUGUAAAUCAGUGCUCGCGCAUGUAUAAAAUUAAUCUCUAUUAACUGGGAAGUUUCUUGGGGUGACACAAGUGGAUAUACACUAUUCGUGAUGUACAAGACAACAUUAUCAGGAAAACAGACGUGCCAAUUAAUAAUAAAGGACUAGCAGUUGAAGCUGACCAAAUUAAUUUUAUGUGUGUAAGAUUUCAAGAUAGUUUCCUGUAGAAUUUAAUGGUCAUGUGUUUCUUCGGCUCCUUCCUCAAAUCCAGCACAACGGCAUAGUCACAUGCAUGAAGAUUUUGGAGUCUUUGGCUGCACAAUUUUUCUGGACUUUAAUUUGCAUUAGUUAUUGGCUUUUUUAUAUUGCUCUUUAAUCAGCUUUUUCCGAUAAAAUAUUUCUGUAUUAGUUUUCGAUUAAAAUAGUCCUGGCCUCCUGGGAAGUUAUGGUACGAAUCAGAUUCUUUUAUCAACAUUUGACAAUUUCUUUUUCAAAGCUUUGAGUAGUGGAAUCAAUGAAAGAAGAAAUUAAUGUAAGAAGAAUAAUUAAAUGGGUACUCUCUUAGCCCCUUUAUCUGCUUAAAUAAAGAUUUUUGAAUACCUUGUUGGUGUGGCUAGUUAUGCUUGAAGUUGUUCUACAGUGUCUCGCUUGAAAAUUCCGAUACAAAAAAUUAAAAAGAAUCAUCUUCAUCACAUAGUCGACAGAACAUACACAUAUUCAACAGAGCAUACAGAGCAUACAGAACAUACACAUGUUCAAAAAAAUUUAUAUUGCGAUCAGACUUGACUCUUGAGCCUUGGUCAUUCCAUCACUAUCGUAGUUCCCCAUGAUACGUCAUGAGGGGAACUCAGUCAUUCCAAGACGGGUACAGUCAUCUUGUAAGGAGAUGAUUUAAUUUUACGACAUUACCCCUUCAGUGCACUCAUCUUUUAAACCGUAAGUAAUCAUCCUAGAGGAUGCAUCAUGGGACCUUCGCUGAUUGCUGAGUGUAUUGACUCAAGAAAGAACUUUUAAUUUCAUUACAGGUUUCAUAAGAUCAAAGUUGAGGGUAGAUCAAAGCUGUGACUAUUAAAAAUAUGUUCGUGACAUUAUACUCACAAAAUUUAUUACGGCAGUCAUAAUUUUGCCAUUUAUGUAUAGAGUACUCAAAAUUAUUGAAUUUCAUUUAAAAAAGGUUAAAUUAUAGAAUUUCAUUAAAAAAAAUUUCAAAUUAAACUUAUCAUAAAAAAACCUGAACCGUCCAUGCAAAAUCUAAGUGAUUAAAAGAGAUUAUAAGAACAAUUUAAUUGAUUAAUUAUCAAUUCUUUUUUAUAUGUAAAAUUGGUAUUUUACAAGUUAAUUAUAAUUAACUAACAGAAAUGUAGCAAAAUAUAGGGUUUAUUAGAGAUAUUUAACAAUUCCUGAAGUAUCAUGGUAUAAAAUGUUAUACCCUAAUAUUUCCUGCACCAAUUUAUUUUACAAUUCCUAAAAUAGUAAAAUGAAUAUAACGCAUAAAAUUAAUUAAAUUAUUAACAUAGCUUCUGUCCUUUAUAGUAAUUUCAUUAGAUGUUUCAUGAGAUCAAAGUUUUGAGGGUGAAUUAAUCAAAGAAAAUGGUUGUGGAUGGUUAUAACAUUCGACCAAAAAUAAUAUUAUUAUUUGGUUGGAGCCAUAGCAGGGUAGGCCCAGUCCCAGUCCCUUGUGCCCGUUCCGGUCAUUGGCAAGACAGUCUGCCAUGCAAGCAAGCGAAGGAGGAAAAUGUGAGGUAUUUUUACAUCACUUGCCAAAUGUGUAAUAUUUGCUUACUUGGACUUCAAAGUCAGUAGUUUAAUGAAAUUGGAACAUUUUUAGGACUUAAGAGACUCUCCUGAUCUAAUCUUCUUUCUAUAAUUUUGAAGUAGUUCCUAAGUUGAAUUAGAUCGUGGGUUUCUAAAAUCUAAAAAUUCCAAUAGGAUUCGACCCCACAUACAAAGACUUACCAAACUCAUAAUUUUUAUGAGUGAUUGUCGUGUAAAUAAGUGAUUGCGGACGUGACCAAUUGGGCUUUAGCCUAAUGGUGAACCGCUACUUUCAAAGUUAAAAAGAAGUAUAAGAGUAGUGAUUCGAGAAUCCAAUUGGGAUUUUUAGAUUAAUAGAAACAUUUGGUAUAAUUCAACUCAUGAACUAGAUCAAUAACAGAAAAUUCUUUAAGUUUAUAUGGUUGGCCUAGUUACUAUUCUCCAUUGACGUGAGAUGAUAUAUCCACAACAAGAUUCCCUUUGUACUGUGCAGUUCGUGUUGGAAAUUUUCAAAAUAAUUGUGUCUUAUGGUAAAGACAUGUCCUAUUAAUUGUGCCUUAUAGAAAAGGUACCUUUCACUAAAGACUUGUCUAAUUAAAUGAUGUCUUAUUGUAAGGACAUGUCCAUUUAAUUGUGUCUUGUAGAAAAGGUAUCCUUUUACUAAAUGAUAUAACUUUUCAUGGCAACAUUUCACUUAGAGAUGCAUCAUUUCAUAGUGACAUUUCAUUUGAAAUGGUGAUGGUUCAAUUUAGACCAUUGAUUAAAAUCAAAUCUAGAUCCAAUGGCCAUGAAUGAAGGGGUAUCAUGAAAGAUGAUAACCCAAAUGAGGAGGCACAAGUAUAUCUAUAAAUAGGGGUCAUGUUUAAGCCAUUUAGACAUGAAAUGAAUGAUCCUACACCACUCUUUUCUUAGCAUUCCUUUCUAGUACGAAUCUCAACACAAAACACCCAUUUCUUUUGUGCAUUCACAUUCCAAUAUAUUGUUUUCUGCAGGAACAAUAUAUUAUUUCUUGGUAGGCUUGCAACAUUCAAGAGUAUUCUAGUUUGCUUUCGUCGAUGCACAACGCAAGCAAACAAACAAGUGCUUCAUUGUAUCCUGGAGGCGUAUUUGCUUAACCCAUGUGCAUCACUCAAUUGGUGGGGGCAAAUAACGUCUUAAGGAAAGCGACAUUUGUAACGUGCCUUGAAGCACACAAAAUUUCUGCAGUUUCUUCCUACAUACAGAGUUAGUUGUAAACACAUUAUUUUACAUAAUAAAGUUCCACCAUUAUUGUUGUAUUUCUCUACAUUUGUCAUUCCCCACAAAAUUUACCACCAACAAUCUUAAGACGUUAUUUCUACAACAAUGGCACCAAGUUCAUCUCUUCGACAAUUUGCAGUAGAUUUUGUCAAAUUGGAGCGGUUUGAUGGUGGCAACUUUAUUCGUUGGCAGAAAAAGUUGCAUUUCUUGUUGACAAGCCUCAAUGUGGUCUAUGUUCUCACAACACCAAAGCCUCAAGAACGUGAGAAUGAGACAUUAGCGGAAACCAGAGUGCGACAUAAGUGGGAGCAAGAUGACUACGUGUGUAAGGGACACAUUUGCAAUGCCAUGUCUGAUACUUUGUUUGAUCAAUAUCACAACAAACCUACAUCAAAAGAGAUAUGGGACUCAUUAGAGGCUAAGUACAUGAUGGAAGAUGCCACAAGUAAGAAAUUCUUGGCUUCUAAAUUUUUUAAUUAUAGAAUGGUUGAUAAUAGACUCGUGGUUGAACAAUAUAAUGAGAUUUUGCAUAUUCUUGAUCAAUUCAACCAACAUAACAUGAAAAUGGAUGAGUCUAUUAUUGUCUCUUCAAUUAUUGAUAAACUUCCUCCCUCUUGGAAAGACUAUAAGAAAAGUCUUAAACAUAACAAAGAGGAAAUUAGUCUGGAUGGCUUAGGCCAAAGUCUUCGUAUUGAAGAGGAACUCAAGCUUAAUAGUCUUGAGGAUCAGACUACUAUGUCCUCUAAAAUUAAUGUCGUAGAGGAAGGGAAGGAGUUUAAGCAUUCUAAUCACCCUAAGAAUAACCAAAAGAGAAAGUUUGAUUCCAAAGAGAAUCAAAACAAUAAGAAGAAAAAGAAGGGUACAUGCCACCACUGCGGAAAACCUGGCCAUUUCAAAAGAGAUUGUCGACUUCUGAAGAAACAAAAGGAAGUUUCGAACACAAAUCUUGUGGCCAUGAUAUCUGAGAUUAAUGUUCUUGAAGAUGAUAAUGCAUGGUGGAUAGAUUCUGGUGCAACCAAGCAUGUAUGCAAGGAUCGUAGCCUUUUCAAAUCUUAUAAAGCAAUGGAUGAUGGAAGUGUUCUUUACAUGGGAAAUUCCUCCACUGCAAUAGUUAAAGGAAAAGGCAAUGUGCAACUAGAGUUCACUUCCGGAAAAACUUUAACUCUUACAGAUGUUUAUCAUGUUCCUGAAGUUAGGAAAAACCUUGUAUCUGGUAGCCUUCUUAAUAAGUUUGGCUUCAAACUUGUUUUUGAGUCAAACAAGUUUAUAUUAUCUAAGGGUGGUACCUUUGUUGGGAAAUGAUACAUGUAUGAAGGAAUGUUUAAACUCAAUAUCAAUAAUAUGAAUGUUUCUUCUGCUUAUAUGGUUGAUUCAUUAUCUUUGUGGCAUAAUCGUUUAGGACAUGUGAAUGUUAGAAGAUUGCAUGAUAUGGCUAAUUUAGAAUUAAUUCCUAAGCAUGAAAAUGAUAUGCAUGAAAAAUGUAAAGUAUGUGCACAAACUAAAAUCACAAGAUCUCCUUUUCCAAAAAUUGAAAAAACAUCUUCUUUAUUGCAUUUAAUUCAUAGCGAUGUGUGUGAUAUGCAUAGUAAUCCUUCUAAAGGUGGUAAAAAAUAUUUUGUAACAUUUAUUGAUGAUUUUUCAAAAUAUUGCUAUGUGUAUUUAUUACAUUCUAAAGAUCAAGUGUUAGAAAAAUUUAAAACUUAUAAAAAUGAAGUUGAGAAUUUUUGUGACACUAAAAUUAAAUGCCUUAGAAGUGAUAAAGGAGGUCAAUAUGCUUUUUCUGAUUUUUGUGAAUCUGUUGGCAUUGUACACGAAACUAGCACUGCAUAUACUCCACAACAAAAUGGUGUAGCUGAAAGGAAAAAUAGGACAUUAAUAGAAAUGGUUAAUGCUAUGCUUUUUAAUGCUGGGCUUGGUAAAGGUUUUUGGGGUGAAGCUAUUUUAACUGCAUGUCAUAUCUUAAAUAGAGUGCCUAAUAAGAAAACAAAGGUGACUCCAUAUGAAUUAUGGAAAAAGAAAAAGCCUAAUCUUUCUUAUCUAAGAGUUUGGGGUUGUCGAGCCAUUGUAAGACUACCAGAACCUAAGAUAAAGAAAUUAGGAGAAAGGGGCAUUGAAUGCAUAUUCUUGGGAUAUGCAGAGCAUAGUAAAGCUUAUAGGUUUCUUGUAACAGAACCUAAUAGCUUUGUUGAGAUCAAUACUAUAGUGGAAUCUAGAGAUGCAAUAUUCUAUGAAAAUAGAUUUUCCACUAUACCAAAAAGUAUUGAUUCUCAAGAGAAUGAUAAACAAAUAGAAAUUGGUCAAAAGCGUAAUGCUAAUAAUGAGCAAAAUCAUUUGAGAAGAAGUAAAAGAAUAAGGACUCUAAAAUCUUUUGGACCAGAUUUUAUAGUUUAUUUAGUUGAAGGGACAAGAGACUCACAAUCAAAACAGACCAUGAUCACAUCUACUAUAGAGUCUGAUCCCCUCACCUAUGAAGAGGCAAUGAAGUCUCAAGAUGCUGCUUUUUGGAAAGAGGCCAUUAAUGAUGAAAUGGACUCUAUUGUGGGUAAUAAGACUUGGAAAUUAGUUGAUUUACCUCCUGGCUCUAAUCCUAUAGGUUGUAAAUGGAUUUUCAAAAAGAAGAAGAAAGUUGAUGGAACAAUUGAAAGAUUUAAAGCAAGACUAGUAGCAAAAGGCUUUACACAAAAAGAAGACCUUGAUUAUUUUGAUACUUAUGCACCUGUUGCAAGAAUUGCUACUAUUAGAGUCUUGAUUGCUUUGGCUUCAAUUUAUCAAUUUGAAAUCCAUCAAAUGGAUGUAAAAACAGCUUUCUUAAAUGGAGAAUUAGAUGAGGAAAUUUACAUGAAACAACCAGAAGGGUUUGUUAUGCCAGGACAAGAACAUAAAGUUUGUAAACUAGUCAAGUCUUUAUAUGGUCUUAAACAAGCUCCAAAGCAGUGGCACGAAAAGUUUGACAAAGUGAUUGUCUCAAAUGGAUUUAAUAUUCAUGAAUCUGAUAAAUGUGUCUAUAGCAGAUUCAAUGGAAAUAAAGGUGUGAUUAUUUGUUUAUAUGUAGAUGACAUGUUAAUUUUUGGUACUGAUAGUGAGAGCAUUGAACUCACUAAAUUAUUAUUGUCAUUUAAUUUUGAUAUGAAAGACAUGGGACUUGCUGAUGUGAUUUUGGGGAUUAAAAUUAUAAAAAAUGAGAAUGGCCUAGUAUUGACCCAAUCACAUUAUAUUGAGAAAAUUUUAAAGAAAUUUUAUUAUUAUGAUUGUAAGUCUGUGUCAACACCUUUUGAUUCAAAUAUAAAACUGUAUCCUAACACUGGCAGAUCAGUAUCCCAAUUAGAAUAUGCACGUAUUAUUGGAUGUCUUAUGUACGCAAUGACUUGUACUAGGCCUGAUAUUGCUUUCGCUGUUGGAAAGCUCAGUAGAUAUACUAGUAAUCCAAGCCAAGCACACUGGCAAGCAGUGUACAGAAUUCUAAAAUAUUUAAAACAUACAAUGGAUUAUGGUAUAUACUACACUGGAUAUCCUUCAGUUUUGGAAGGAUUUUCGGAUGCUAGUUGGAUUACUGAUCGAGAUGAUCAUACAUCCACAAGUGGUUGGAUUUUUAAUCUUGGUGGAGGAGCUAUUUCAUGGGGCUCAAAGAAGCAAACUUGUAUAGCAGACUCCACCAUGGCUGCAGAAUUUGUAGCUUUGGCUUCAUGUUGCAAGGAAGCUGAAUGGUUAAGGAAUUUGCUUAUAGAAAUUCCUAUUUGGUCUAAACCAAUGCCUCCUGUAUCUAUUCACUGUGAUAGUGAGGCAACUUUAUCAAGAGCAUAUAGUCAAAUCUAUAAUGGAAAGUCUAGGCACAUUGGUCUAAGACAUAGUUAUGUAAGACAAUUACUUACAGAUGGAGUAAUCACAAUUGACUUUGUGAAAUCAUGCCAAAAUUUGGCAGACCCCUUAACUAAAGGCCUUGCAAGGGAUAUUGUAUUUAAAACUUCUGAGGGGAUGGGACUGAAGCCAGCAUCAUCUUAUCACCAAUGAUGGAAACUCAACCCAACACUUGAAAUAUCAAGAUCUUGGGUUCAAUGAGCAAAAGUACAUCAUAUGUUGUGAUAGCAAGCACUAUAAUAUUUUUAGAUGCGUCCCAAAGGUUAGUGCUUGAUACCUGUAACAUAUGGAAAAAGUUAAGCUACUUAGCUUUUAAUGGACUUAUAAAUGUUUUAGUUACAGGGACAUUCUAGAUAAGUCCACCUAUGUGAGUGUAGGAGGUGGUGCCGCUUCCUAUGUAACUUGGCUGGUUACUAAAGCGCUCAUGAAAACAGGAUAUAGACACAGGGCCAAUCCACGUGUCGGCUAAGGAAUACUUGAGAAUUUGAAAACUUAUGUGUGAGAUAUAUCCGGUUAGUCGAUUAAGGUUGCUGGUUCAAAGCUUGCCUACCAUGCCACCUUGAUUAACUUUGAUGUAUUGUCGCUAAGUGAAGGUUCAAGUCCAAAAGACACCUUCAUCUAUGCCUAAGUUUUCCAAGCUUGUGCAAGAUCAUUUUUCCAAAUUCAUUUAUUUUGAAAAUGGUGGGGGAUUGUUGGAAAUUUUCAAAAUAAUUGUGUCUUAUGGUAAAGACAUGUCCUAUUAAUUGUGCCUUAUAGAAAAGGUACCUUUCACUAAAGACUUGUCUAAUUAAAUGAUGUUUUAUUGUAAGGACAUGUCCAUUUAAUUGUGUCUUGUAGAAAAGGUAUCCUUUUACUAAAUGAUAUAACUUUUCAUGGCAACAUUUCACUUAGAGAUGCAUCAUUUCAUAGUGACAUUUCAUUUGAAAUGGUGAUGGUUCAAUUUAGACCAUUGAUUAAAAUCAAAUUUAGAUCCAAUGGCCAUGAAUGAAGGGGUAUCAUGAAAGAUGAUAACCCAAAUGAGGGGGCACAAGUAUAUCUAUAAAUAGGGGUCAUGUUUAAGCCAUUUAGACAUGAAAUGAAUGAUCCUACACCACUCUUUUCUUAGCAUUCCUUUCUAGUACGAAUCUCAACACAAAACACCCAUUUCUUUUGUGCAUUCACAUUCCAAUAUAUUGUUUUCUGCAGGAACAAUAUAUUGUUUCUUGGUAGGCUUGCAACAUUCAAGAGUAUUCUAGUUUGCUUUCGUCGAUGCACAACGCAAGCAAACAAACAAGUGCUUCAUUGUAUCCUGGAGGCGUAUUUGCUUAACCCAUGUGCAUCACUCAAUUGGUGGGGGCAAAUAACGUCUUAAGGAAAGCGACAUUUGUAACGUGCCUUGAAGCACACAAAAUUUCUGCAGUUUCUUCCUACAUACAGAGUUAGUUGUAAACACAUUAUUUUACAUAAUAAAGUUCCACCAUUAUUGUUGUAUUUCUCUACAUUUGUCAUUCCCCACAAAAUUUACCACCAACAGUUCGGAGAUGAUACAUGUAGUUCAAAAACAGAAAAUUCCACAAUUUGAUCACCGCCACCUUGGGGCUGGUUCAAAUUGGAAAUUAUUGAUGCCGCAAUAAAUGAUGAAUCAGACGGCUGGGUUAGCAGGAUUUAUGAGACCUCAAGAUUCUGGGCUUGUUCUUUUCUUGGGCUUCUCUCCCUUCUAAAACUUGUAGUUUUAUCUUUGAAAUGAACCUUAGGACCUUCUUAAUUAGGCCCAGGCUUGCUAUAACCCCACGGCAACCCCGCAAAACAAAUUUUUAGGCAACUUAGGUCCUGCAUUUCUAUAGCACAGAUCAUUCUUCUUAGCCAAUUGUCUACAUAUACUAUUUAAUUUGAAAUAAAUUGAAAUUUCAUUCAACAUAGAGAGAUUUGAGUGCCGUCGUACAUCUUCUACAAACACACAUCAAAAUUGAUUAACCGAUUAUUUAUUACAAGAAGACAAUGGAUUAAAUUAUUGUACUUUCAAAUUAUGAGAGGAAAAAAGAUUAUUUACAAAUGCAGUGUACAUUCACUCUUCCUUUAAUCCCCAAGUAAUUAAAGUUUCAAUUAGAUGUGUACAUGCCUCUCGACCUUUUUUGAGUGGUGGGCUGCUGUCCUCACACGGUGUGAGUUCUAAUGGACUCAACUCUCUCUCAAUUAAGAAUAAUUGAGUGGAGACCAUUGCAGUCUUUUUCCCUUUCAAAAAUUGUAAGUGGAGCAAGAAUCCCUCAAAUAUUAAUAUUAUUACUUUUGGAUAGUAUUGUAGCAGGUGCUGUGGUGAUACUUUUGGAUAGUAUUAUUAUUUUAAAAUAUUAAUUUUUGGUCUGUUAAAAAUAUUUCAUACUUAAAUUUGAGAAUUGAUAUUGGAUCGAGAAUUGGUGUUGGACUUGUAGUUUCUUUUUUUGGGACUAAUGUUGAAAUUUUAAUUUUCCAUUUACAUUGAUGAAAUUUAGAAUUGAAUAUUUUAUGUGAAAUUAUAGGUUAUUGUUACAAAUUUUUAUAUUGAGUUAUUUAAUUUAAUUUUUUAGGUAUUAUUAAAUGUAUUUUUUUAACAUUUGUGAUUUUAAAUGUGGGAACGCACAAAAAAUCCAUUGAAUAUCAUUGCGGUUUUGGUAAUUGUCAAAAUUCGUAGUUGGUGAGUUUUCUUAAAAAAAAUUAAAAUCCAUAGCAGGUUGCAAGUAAAUUUAAUAAUUGAAAUUUUAUACGAGUAUAAGUUUAGUAAUAAUAAACCUGGGGACUAUGCACAAUUGCACAUUGCCAUCCCUAUCUCAACUAGUUGUCUGAUUAUAAUGCCGGUAGUUAUCUGCAAUAAUAGUAAUUCCUAAAUAUCUCUUAUGUAAUAUUAAGUUGUUUAAUUGUACCGGUAUAUAUAAAAAAAAAGAUGUAUACAUGUAAAUAUGUAAUUGCCUAAAGUCUACCAAGCUUCUAAGUCAGUCUAGUCAAAAUUGUCAAAAGAAAUUUCAUAUUUCGCAAUGGAAGAAGUUGUGCCUGCCUUUUGGAUGAGGCCUCAAAAGUGCAUGCUUUUUGGAUUGAGGCCUCAGAGGUAGAAUUAACUAUUAAUUAAAGAACAAAAACAAAGCGCUCUCAAAGUAAAGUCAACCAAACCAUUAUUUUUGGUGCUGUACAUACUAAUUAUUAUUUUAUAAUCAACAAUGACAUCGGCAGCUCUUUUAUCCACUAGCCAAAUACAAACUUUGAUUCUUAUUCAAUUAAAAGAAUUCCUAAACUUUAAUAAUCAUAUUUUUGUUUAAUACUAAUACUUUUUUUCAUUUACCAUUUUUUUCCAGUCUAAGGAUAGUCAAAAGGAAAUCUCGAAUUCGCCCAUUUUGUUAAAUUAAAAUAUUAAAACUAAUUAUUAUUUGCUGCAAGGAAUCUCCAGUUUGACACAUUCAGUUAGACACACUAAUAAAAAAAGAAAAAAAAACGUGGGUAUUCUUCCAUUUCAGAUUUUUUAUUAUGUACAACAAAUAUAACUAUAUGGAACUAAUAUAACUACGUGACAAAUAUAAUAAUAAAUGCGAACCAUAUCAUACGUAUAAGCUUUCGAUGACAAUAUCCCUAAGAGGCAUGACCGAAAAUAAAGGCAUGCAUAAAUUGACAGGCCACAGUUCACCAGACAGACAUCAAUUCUCAGAAGCAAUUCACAAAGAGAUUGCAACACACGUCUUGUUACAGUAUCACUCGUCUCACCAGAUGACAGAUGUACAUCGUUCAUCAAUUAUAGAAAGUAAGUUGAUGCUUAGUGUGAUCAUACUUAAAUAUCACUAUGUUAAUUGAAAUUACAAUUUGACCAUGGACCGACAUAGAAAUGUUUCAUAUUUCCUUUCUAUUUCUGCCUUUUUAGUUUUUACCCACUAGAGGGUUGUUUCACGAUGCACGAACGUUGAAAUCAAAGUCACCUUAAUUAAUCGAACCAUUAUUGAUCAUUAUAUCCACUAAAGUUGCAGCUUAGCUCGAUAUGAUAUUGAUUCUGCAUGACUUAAUUCUCAUGAAUCAUGAUACUAUUGUACGUACUAAAUAGUAUCAGAUUGGAUUGAGCACCUACAGAGGAAUCUCUUCGUUGCGGGGCUUUGAUUUUGUAAUAUGCAAUGAAAGCAACAAAUCAAAAGUAACUCCACCAAGUUUGAAAAAGACUUACCAAAAGAAAUGAGCAAUAAUAUCUGGUUUGGUGAAAGUGUUCUUAAUUUUUUAGUAAAUAAUGGAAGAACUAAUAAGGCACAACGCGUCUUAUUGCCAAUGAUUUUCAGCAACUUGCAUUACCGAAGUCAUCCUCCCAAUUUUCUCUAUGCGUAGUCUUCAAUUUAUCCCUUGCUUACCUAGUCAGAUUUCUUUCCUUUUUGGUCUAACAAUUGGGAGUUUAAUAAAGAAGGAAAAAAAAACCUUGAAUCAACAAAGUGUUGGCUCCACUGACAAUGGAGUCCCCUUAAGUGGCUUGACUGGGUUUGCUCCCCAGUUCGAGUCGCAGGAAAGUCGCAUUUAUUGGGAGAACAUGUGCCUCUUGGUUCAAACGGGGACUUUUAAUCUGGGUUGUGGUACGAAUUUAAAGGUGCUUCUUACAGUUGGGGCCCUCCCCAGGAUACCUCGUGGUCAAAACCAAAAAAAAAAAAAAAACCUUGAAAGGUCUUUUAUUUGCAACAGAAGUCCAAAGGAUGGGCGACGCCGAAUGUGAACUGUUUUCACCUAUGGGAGAGAGACUUAAUCUUCUCUUUUAUCUUCAAAAUUAGCGAUUCAUUUAUUUUACCAAGUAACCAGGAAAAGAGCUUGAACAUCACAGUGCCCAAGAACCUCAGUGCCCAAGAACCUGAUUAAUUUUCUUUACUUGCCCAACAGAAACAUUAUCCUCCAUUAAUAACAAAGAGCUGCAAGAACUUGGAACAUCCCAAAAUAUUAUUUUCCAUUUCUCCAUUUCCUCGGGCUUUUAUUAUUCAUGGCAACAUUGCACUGUAAUUGAGAUAAAUGCAUUUAUCCGCACCCAUAUUAAUUGAGGAGACAGGUUAGAAUUUCCCGUGCAUGAUAAACCAAUUAUCCAAUGGUACAAUUAAAAUUUCAAAUAGAUAUAUCCAAUUAUGUAAUUGCCUAAAACCUACCAAGCUUCUUAGUUAAUCUGCUAAACAUAGAAUAUUCGACAGCCACUUUUUUGAUAAAUUGGGUUAUUUAACUCCUAAAAUUAAGCUUCAAUAGAAUAUUCUUAGUUAACCCAUAAAUGUAUUAGGUACUUCUCCUAAAGCUUAUUUUAAUGGAACAAAACAACUUCAAAUCAAUUCCGCAAGUCAAUAUUCCAAAAAAAUUUUCCUUCUCAUGAAUUAAUAGAUCUGCCAAUAUACAAAAAAGAAUAUUUCAUGUACAUGUACGACCCAGUUUGGAAAAUCUUUUCUACUUUGUCCGUUUGUGACCAUUAUUAUUACUUUGAGUAUGUUAUUUUUUAAGCCUAAAUUUAAAAAUAAAUGCAAAAUCGUAAUGUAUAAAGCCGAUUUAUUUUUCCCAAAUUGAACAUAAUGAAUUUUCAACCAUGCUUCCUUACAACUUAAGGAAUUAAGGAGUUGGAGUGUGUGUGUUCCGCACUUCCACUAAAGAAGAAGCACUGGAUUUUGCUGACAAAAACGUCCUUGUUUAUGAGAUCUUUUGGUCAAUCUCCAUUUGGUAUUCUCUCCCUUUUUUUUCUCUUUAAUGUUUCUAUUCAAGUGAUGCGAUAAAAUUAGCGAACGAGUCCAAGUGUUGAUUCUUUGAUCCAAUAUUGUCAAUCUGUCCGGUUCAAGGCAGCAUAAUUGAAUGUAACACGAAAUCAUUUUAACUCAGAAUUGUUAUAUAUCAAAGGGGGAGAUUAUAAGUUAAUAUAUAGUCAAUACUCCUCCCAGAAUAAUUUUACAGUAUUUCCAUUAUUUUCAAAUAUAUUUUUGCUUAUAUUUAUUAUAAAUUAAAUAAACCAUAUGAAUAGAAAUUAAAAUAAAAAAUUUAAGAAUUAAAAAUAAGAAAUAUAAGUUUCAGUUUGAAUAAAAAAUAAAUAGUAAGAUAAUUUUUCUUAUACUUUUUUUUUAUUUUUUAAAUAAUUUUCUUAAUACACACACACUCAAGAUAAAUUACCAAACAAAUGACCGAUUUUCCUUUAAAUUUUUGGUGCCAUGAGAGGUUUUGGAUUUUAUGAAAACAACAUGCGAUAAAUGAUAUAUAUUGAUUUCAGUAGAGCUCAGAAGACCAACAAUCUUCCCAUAUCAAACCUAUUUGUAGUUUUUUUUUUCUUAUAUUUAUAUUCAUGUUUUACUCUUCUUUUAUUAACAAAUCUGUGUUAAGAGAAGGAAAUUUUUUUUAUUUUUCACUUACAAGCAUACCCUAAGACGCUUGGUGCUUACAAAUUUAGUUAGCUGUUAAUGAUUUACUGUUAAUUCUUUUUUUAUUUUUUAAAUUCACUAAGUUUUUCAGUGGCAAGAACAAGGAAAAGUUGUCGGUUAGAAUUGUGUUGUAUUGUCAAACAUUAUGAAUAUUCUUCUUUUGACUGGAAAGCGAUUUCAUCUAUAGUAGUUGAGGUAGGUUCCUCUUCCUCUACUAUUUCAUUAGAUUGAAAUGUAUGAAAUCAUUUAGUCUCCUUUAAAUUAUUAGAAAUUUGUAGUGUUUGAAGUUAUAUAUUAUUAUUAGGCAUUGUCCUAACUUCAUAUUGAGUCUUAGGUAUUAUCCCAUAAUUAUACUUAAACUUGAUGUAAUAUUGUGUGACGUUGUGUUUUAUCCAUUAUUGCUUUUCUAAUGAAAUGCAUACUAACUAUUAAUUUAUAAUCAACUGACGCCAAGGAUAGUCAAAAGGAAAUCUCGAGUUUGACGUAGAGAUGGCAAAAUCCUGGGCCGGGUCCGGGUAUUGCCAUGACCGGACCCUGCCCGGAUGCAAUCGGUCCGGGUCCGGGUUCGGGCCGGGUUUUGAUUCGGGUACCCGGAUUUUAUAUUUUUUAAUAUUUAUGUGUAUAUAUUUUUUAUUUUUUUAGUAAUUUUAUAAGUUUUAAAUUUAUUUCAAUAAAAUUUGACAUGAAAAUAUAAAUUUUAAGUGUUUAAAACUUUAUAUAUGUAUAAUAAAUAAGUCAAAUAAAUAUAAAAUAUUUAAAAUAAUAUAUAUUUUAUAAUUGUUUUUAAUAAAAUCCGGGUUCCGGGUUUAUCAAGUGAUGCCCAAGACCGACCCGGCUUCAUACCCGGGCGGGAUAUUACCCGGCCCGCAAUGCCCGGGUACGGUCCGGGUCCGGGCCGGGCGGGUAUUUUUACCACCUCUAGUUUGACGCACUCGAAAAUUUGCCAGCUAGACUCAGUAAUAAUAAACAUGUGGAAAUUCUUCCAUUUCACAUUUUUUAUUAUGUACCACAAAUAUAACUAUAUGGAACUAAUGUAACUAUGUGACAGAUAUAAUAAUAAAUGCGAACCAUACUAUACAUAUAAGCUUUCCUUGACAUUAUCCCUAGGGGCUUGACCGAAAACAAAGGCAUACAAAAAUUGGCAGGCCAUAAUUCAUCAGACAUCAAUUCUCAGAAGCAAUUCACAAAGAGAUUGUAACACACGUCUUGUUAUAAUAUCUCUGGUCUCACCAGAUGUAAAUCGUUCAUCAAUUAUAAGACGUAAGUUGAUGCUUAGUGCGAUCAUAAUUAAAUAUCACUAUGCAAUUUGACCAUGGACUGACGUAGAAAUGUUUCAUGUUUCCUUUACUUUAUAUUUCUGCUUUUUCACCCACUAGAGGGUUGUUUCACAAUGCACAAACGUUGAAAUCAAAGCCACCUUAAUUAAUCGAACCAUUAUUGAUCAUUAUAUCCAGUAAAGUUGCAGCUUAGCUCGAUUCGUUAUUGAUUCUGCAUGAGUUAAUUCUCAUUAUACAAUUGUACGUACUAAAUAGUAUCAGAUUGGAUUGAGCACUUACAGAGGAAUCUCUUCGUUGCGGGGCUUUGAUUUUGUAAUAUGCAAUGAAAGCAACAAAUCAAAAGUAACUCCACCAAGUUUGAAAAAGACUUACCAAAAGAAAUGAGCAAUAAUUUCUGGUUUGAUGCAAGUGUUCUUAAUUAUUCAGUAAAUAAUGGAGGAACUUUUGUCGUCUCUCACAAAUUUAUGUUCUAUUGAACAAGUUUCUGCAAGUUAAAAGGAAUUCUAAUUGUUAUUGUCGUUUUUUGGGUUACGUAUUAUUCCCCCCAUUUUGAAGGACCAUUAGAACGAAAAUAAUGUUAAAAGCAAAAAGAGAAUUGAAGAAUAAGAGCAUCUUUUUAUACGAGGCCCGAGCUUGAGGAACUGUUUGAAUUCUUUCAAUGCGGGGCAGGUUUUGCUUAAUUUGUAUACCCAAUUUCUAAAACGGAUCAGCUUUAAAUAAUAUUAAAAAGAAAAAUUUAUCAUUUAUCUUAUCAUCUUUGUAUUUGAUUGUGAGUUUGUAACAAAAACUAAGCUACGAGUAUGCGUAAGGGCUAAGGGCCACCUUUUUAUCCUAUCAAUGUGACCGCAAGAAUUUCUCGGAACCCUUAAAUCAAUGUGGAGAUAUGUGAGAUAUCAAGGAAUUAAGCAUCUUUAAAAGAAAAAAAAAAUAUGGGAAAAUAUCCACCGUCCACCCAUUUUUUAUACCUUUUUCAAAAAUACACAAUUCUUUCAUUUUUUGGCUGGAAUCCACCUAAAGUUACAUUUUUUUCACUUUUCCACUUCCGUUUGGAAUCCGUUAAGAAAACUAACGGAAACUUAAAAAAAUGACCAUUUUACUCCCAAAACGAAAAUUACAAUUUCACCUUAAAAAUUAAAAAAAAUAAUUAGAUUAAAUCUAAUUAUUUUCCCCAUCGGUCAAUAAAUAAAUUAAUUCCACAACCAUCAAAUGCAUGUUUUUUUUUAAAUAUGUCUGUAAUUAGAAUGCUAAAUUAUAACAGUAGUAUUAAAAAUAGCCCAAUCUCACAAAUCAUCAAUUGAAUUUAAGAUAAGUAGAGUUUUAUUAUUAAUUGAGUUAUAAUCUCUAGUAGUUAAGAUUUUUUUGUACUUCAUUAAAGUACCAAUAAUGAUAUUCAUCAUUAAAUCUUAUUAUUUUUGGUAUUUUUUAAGGUGAAAUUGUAAUUUUCGUUUUGGGGGUAAAAUGGUCAUUUUUUUAAGUUUCCGUUAGUUUUCUUAACGGAUUCCAAACGGAAGUGGAAAAGUGAAAAAAAAUGUAACUUUAGGUGGAUUCCAACCAAAAAAUGAAGGAAUUGUGUAUUUUUGAAAAAUGUGUAAAAAACAGGUGGACGGUGGAUAUUUUCCCAAAAAAUAUUUAAGGUAUUAAUUCUUUUGGAUUUUCAGCCACUUGCAAUCUUGCAUUGCCCAAAUCAUUAUCUCAAUUCAAUUUGCCCCUUCGUUAACAGUAAGGUUUCGCACACGAUCCAUGCUCUUGAUGAUUGACCAGCAUACAUAUCUGAUUUCAUGAAAACUUUUUCUGAAUGAUGGAUUCCAUCCUAGGACGCAUCGCUACAUUACCCUUCCCAAUACGUUACACGGUUUUAUCAUUUAAUGAUCACAUUUUAAUCUGUAAUUUCUUCCAAGACAUUUCUUUGCGACUGAUACUACACAAUCCCUAAUUGUAUUCCCAUCAUACAAGGGUCGUCCAUCCUUUAAAGAAGAAGGGGGGAGAAAAUUAUGAAACUUAUUAAGUAAUUAAUUAGUAGAAAAUCUUGGGGAAAAUACUUCAAAAAACAUAAAUUGUGUAUGACAAGAAACAACCAUGCAUGUUUAAUCUUUCGCAAGCAGAGCUCAUGUAUCAACUUUAAACAUAAGGAAAACAAUUUCCUUGCAAAAAUAUGAAUGAAUCUACAAACACCUGAAAAAGUUCCACCAAUCAAUGCAGUUUACAGAUGUUAUGAGACACAUUCAAUCAAUUUCCCUGACUUCCAAACUUCAAUUUAAUGCAAUCACAGUCAUCACCCUCCUAUCCUUACAAUAGGAUAUGAAUUUCCAUUUAUUGUAUAUUUAACUGCAGUGCUAGACUCUAUUGUUUUGGAGAUUGUCUGCAAAAGUAAGACAGAUCAUUCUUGUUAAUUUCCCUGGAUGAUCAGCUUCUUUGGUAAAAUAACUCUCGGGCUCUAGCACUUAUAGCCGCUGAGACUUCAUAUAAGAGAAAACACAUAAUGGUGAAGGUAGACCAAGGAAAAAAAUGCUAAUGGAAUUGAGCAAUAUCAUGAGAACCACAUUGCUUUCCAUAAUAAUGACUAGGGGCAUCAGGCAUGAUCAAAAUAACAGCAUGGCAAAAUCUCACCGCCAUUUAUAAGUCAUCAAUCAGUGUGAAAAUAAGAGACAGGAAGGAAGCAUGCACCUUUAAGAUAAACAAAAAAAAAAAUACAUACAUACAUAUAUAGAUAUAUGCAUAUAUACAUAUAUACAUACAUACUAAGAUAUAUAUACACACUCACUCACGCACAAAAUAGCUCAUUCUCAUCAAAGUUUCAGGAACUAGCAUUAUCAAGAUUAUGCUCUCAAUCUCUAUGCUUAGUCGUAGAUAUAGAACCAUGUAAAAAGCUAGCCCUUCCAAACUAAGUCCAAACAGAUGACAAAAAGUGAACAUCGCACUGCCAACUGGCAAGAAACUUGGUCUUCCCUCUUAUCUUAAAAAAUACAAUGUUGCCACGUAACCCAAAAAAGAGCUAGAACACUGCAGUGCCAGAGAACUUUAGCUUUCUAUCCUUGCCCAAAAGCAAAAACAUUUUCCAUUAGCAAAGAGCUACAAGAACUCGGAGCAUCCCAAAAUCAAUAACAUGAUUGAGAAUCAAUGCAUGUAUCCACAAACAUUUAUUUAGUAGACAACUGAUUCCCAAACCAAUUUUAAAUUUCUGACAGACUUAAUUCGUUGCCCAAAUUCUACCAAGCUUUUCAGUUAAUCUGCUCAAAAUACAAUCCACGGGUGCAUUUAAAUAAAUUGGGUUAUUUAAUACCUAUAAUCUUUAAAACCUCAUCAAAUUGCUAUCAAAAGUAAUCUAUACCAAACAAUCAACACAUGAGAUACAGGGCCUUUAGACAGAGAAAACACUGCUGAAGAAAAAAAUAAAAACCCAUAGAAGCACUAAAUACUUCUCCUAAUGUUAAUAAUGGAACAAAACAAUAUCAUAGAACACUCAAAUAUACUAUUAGAGGAAUAAAUCCAUACCAAUGAUAAGCUAAAUAUGAAAUUUUUCUAGAAUUAAUAAUUCUUCAAACAAAAAAGCACAGUAAUUAUCUGCAUUUUAAAUAAUCCAAAAAAAAGGGCAAUGACUUAUUUAUUUCAUAAAAUAAAAAAAAAGCUACAAACACUUGUUUUUUAAUCUAUUUUAUUUCCAGGCAAGAACGACAUUCUUCUAUUCUUUCUUCAACAAGAAAACAGGUUAUGUUACAGUCACUAGGCAGUAGGCAAAACACUCGAUAACCAAAUACAUAAAAGGAAAUAAAAAAGAGUUACAAAAUCACAAAAGUUAAAAUUGAAAAUACAAAAAGAUUAAAAAAGAAACUGCUUUUGAAAAAUGAAAAUAUCAAACCCCUUCUUCAGAACAAUUCAAACAGGGGGCUGCGGGUUCUUAAUCUAACAGUAAUUAAAAUUCCACUGAAACCCCAACCCUCUAUUUGAUUUUCCAUUUUUUUCCCCCACAAGAAUUAUUUUCAACAUAGAACUUGAGCUUUGGAAGUGACAAAAAGAAAAGACAUAGAUGAGUGACUGAGUCUGACUGAGAUAGAGUCGUCAAUAUACCACACUGGUCAGCUCUCAGUUGAAUUUGUGAGUUUGGGUUGGAGUCCCAGUCCCACAGCCCACAGGUAGUGAAAGUAGGUAAUUAUCCUAACCAGCUAAUGUAUCAAAACCUGUUUGUAUAAGCCUGCACAUUACAAGUUACUCAUAAGCAAAGGAGGGGGCUGCAACGAGAAACAGCACAUCAUGUCCUAAUUAUAAAACAUGUAAAAAUUAACAUAUUUUACCAGUCACAAAACCCUUUUUCUUUAGAGAUAAACUCCCCAUAGCAACUAUAAAUAUGGGAAAAAAAAAAUGACCACAAGGUAGAACAGUCCCUUCUUUUUCUCCAAACAAAUACAACCAUUUCAGUUCACACCUAAGCUGAGAACCAUUCUAGUUCCAAUUUUCAACCAAUGAAACAACCGUAGUAUUCUCAUAAAAAUAAAAGAAUGAAAUAACCAUAGAAUAAAAUAAUUAUACUCUAAUUCAAAUAUUGCUUCAGAAUUUAUGAUUUAUGAUAGACCCAACUGGUCAAACCUACAGAAUUGGAUUAGGCAUUUAUUUGACCCAAAAGGUGAAUAUCAAGCUUAUGGUUCUUACAACACUGAAAUGAUCAAAUUUCAUUCAUUCUGAACAUGAGAUGCAAAGAAUUAUUUCAAGUUAUUCGAAGAGUAAGCAUUAAAAGAAAUUUGUUCAUCCUACGUGGUAUAAGUAGUAUACUUAAGCUAGUAUUAGUGUAUUAUGCAUCAUCGGUUAAAUCAUUUGGAUUAUUAACAUUGAUUUAUAUUUUUUUUAUUAGCUGAAUUGAUAACUGUCGCAUCCCUAACUUAGAUGCACGUGUGAUAAGAAAAUUUUAUCUACAUCAGAUGCAAGUACAAGCUUUUAACAAUUAAGCCGUGACUGUUGGCUUACAAGAACGAACAUAUACUAAUAGAAUGAAUAAGACCCAGCACUUACAGAAAAAUUUGACAUUAUCUGCCCUAAAAUGUAAGAAUCCCAAAUUUAACACAAUCCUAAACUUGCUGCAAGUUACAGCAGCAGCAAGGAAACAAUUAAGAAAACUAGGUGGAAAAAAAAAUUAAUAAAAGUAAGAAGAUUCCAAAAUUGAACCACUCAUGCACAGAAACUUACCCAAACCAAUUCUAAAGAGUAAGAGUUAUGAGAAAAUCCAGCGAAAUCCACGUUGAUUUCCCAUAAAUUUCAUACUUGCUGUUGUUCUCAGCUCCCUUAAGUGCACAAUUAUUCUCUGUAAAAAUCAAUUGCUUUCUUUCCCUCCAUUUCUUUUUCUUCCUCUUCUCUCUUCUUUUGUUUUUUUCCUCGUUCUGUCUCUGUUGUAUUUUUUACCGCUUAUUAUUAUUAUUAUUAUCGUCAUCACCCGAACGUUGGUUUUGUUUGUUAUAGAACUUCACAAAAGAAUAGAGAGACCUUAUAAGUUGGUUGUGGGCUGGGCUUAGCUACAGAUUUUCUUCUCAAAAACACACACACGCGCGCGAGAGGAAGGUGGUGUUUAUUUUUUUAUCUGAAAUCUGAAUAGAUCUGAAUUAGUCUGAAUUCUGAAUAAAUUAUCUGAAUCUGAAUAAUAUAUUUAUUUUUUCGUCUGAAUCUCAAAAAAUAAGUAUUAAGUUGUUUGUUUUUUUCAACUUAAAAAGCUAAAAAUAUAUACUUUUACAUUUGUAUCCUUAUUAAAUUUGAAUGUCAAAUAAAUAAUAUAUUAAAUACCACAAUAUUUUAACAUUUAUAAGUAAAACUAUAUUCAAGUGAAUAAAUAAUUAUUUUAGAAUUUUAAUAUAUAAAAUACCAUAAAAUUUAAAUUUUAUUGUAUAUAAUAUAAGAAAGAAAAAUAUGGAUAUUUUUAUGUGGGAUAAAUGUCUAUGGGUGAGUUUGGGAUAGACAUGAAAAAUAAAUUAUAAAGUAAGGAUAUUUUUGACAUUAGCAAGUAAUUGACUUAAUUCAGAUUUCUCCAUUAAGUAAAAAGCCAAAAAAAUUGGCUUAUUUUAUUAAGUCAAAAUUAUCUAAAAAGUCUCAUUAAGUUAUAAAAACAAACACCUCUAAUUAACUUAAUUAAUUAAGUUAAGUCACUUUAAAUCAUUAAAUUAAAAAAUAAACGUCACCGAAGUGAACUUAGAAUUACUUCCACUUCUUCAAAUUCUUAGUUAUAAAUAAGGCAUGAGUGAGUUUUGAUAUAUUUAAUGAGAUGUAUAUUUCUAGAUAGUUGCGGUUCAUCAACGACCGCAUUCACAAACUGCAGCAGCAAUACGUGAUCAAAAUUCCAAAUAUAAAGCCCUCCUAAAGAAUUCACCACCUAUUUGGCUAGAAAUUCUCCAUUACUCAUUGUCACAGUCUCUAUUUUCACCCCUUUCAUCAAAACACAAGCGUUAUUUACCCAUGUUUAGAAAAAAUAAAUAAAUAAAUAAAUAAAAAUUAACUGACUUCAGCAUAUAAAUUACAGCAAGCGGUCAAUUCACAAAAACAAGGAAAAUUAACUCAAUCAAAGUGAAGUAGGUCACAAAAUGACCUCAAUGAAAUAUCAGAGACCUCUAAAAUGGAAUCCAAUUCAGUUAAACAAAUAAUCACUCAUCAAUGAUGAGCAGAAGGAAAAAAGAAAAAAAAAUUCUUAUAAAAAUUCAACAAAAAAAAAGGCUAAUCUUCCUUUUUGGUUAAGUGAUUUCGUCAGCAAACAUGGCAAAAAUAGAAAUUCCAAAAUAUACCUAGGGUUUCUAGCUUUGGAAAUUUACCUUACAAGUGGGCUUGCUUUUAUUUCAUAAAAGAGUGAGACUAUUGUCACCUCUCUACAAUCCUUAUAAAACCCCUUUCCUAUUACAACGAAAUUAAAGGAUCUCUAAUUAAUCCCCGACAUUUUCCCUCUUUACAAGUUUCUCUCUGAACUCUUUACACCACACAACCACCUAUUAUUUUCUUUUUCCUCAUAAGCAAUUUACACCAUAAUCAAUGUGAUUCCACUAACAAAAUCUCAUUCUUAUCAAUUUCCGUUUAUAAGCUUAAUCAAUAAACCUUUUUUUUUCUAUUUAUUUCCUAGCAUAUCAACCUUUUUUAUGUGAAAAAAAUUAAAGCUUUUUCAUUGGGGUCCACUUUUAACCUCUAAUUGAUUUGAUUCAAAUAUGUACAAGAUUUUUUAUUUUCUAUAUGUAUGUAUGUAUGUAUAUGUGUGUGUGUGUGUGUGUGUGUGUAUUUACCUCACAAGAAACGGGGCUGUCUGUUUCUAGCUUUGUAAAGUUACUAUUAUGGACGAGCCACUCCGAUAAGCUGAGAUGAUCAGAUUUCGCACCAGCAACAAUGAAAUUGUUUGGGUUUGGGUUUGACGAUAGACGGGGGAAUGUUUAGGGUUUUGGGUGAUUUUUUGGAAUUUUUUAUUGAAGUGAAAAUAUCAAAAUAACCUUUACACAUUAAAUAUUCAGGGUACUUAAACAGUUAAAUUUUUCUUUAGAAUAAAAACAGAAUAUAAAUUGAGACUCAGAAUUUUAUUUUAUUUUAUUUUAUUUUUUGAGAGAAAGUAAUACUUUUGAUUCAAUGGACUUUUGAUCCAAUAGAAGAAGCUUUGCACUUAUAAUAUUAAGUGUAAGAGUUCGAACCUCCAUAAGAGCAUUAUGAAUGUUAGUUUCAGUUCUUCCUUAAUUAUUAACUAAUUGAGUGGAAACAGUCUCUCUCUUAUAAAAUAUGAGUGGAAUAGGCACUUCUCGAAUAUUAGAGAGGAACAAUUUGUGUAUAUUAUAAUUCAAAAAAUUUCAUGAGUAGAAUAGACACCCCUCGAAUAUUAGAGAGAAACAAUCUCUAUAGUAUACAUGUAAUGCAUGAUGUCCAUCAUGUAAUUUUUUAUAAUUAUUAUGUUUAAAUCAUGUGUUGUAAUAUCUUAAUUAGUGUAAAAAUAAUGACAAUAUAAAACUUUUUUAAUUAAUGCUGAUACUCAAAUUUUAUUAUCGUGUAAUUUUUUAUAAUUAUUUUGUUUAAACUAUUUGUGGAAUGGUUGUGUAUGUAUUAGUUAAACAAUUACUUUUUAUUCAUAAAUAUGACUUAAAUAUUUAAUAAAAACUAUUUUUGAAAAUGAUAUUACCGAACACAUAUUCACUGUUUUUAUCCUCUCAAAUGUGUCUACCAAACGCAUAUUACUGUUUUCAGUUUUAAAAUACAAGAUACAGAAAAUGAUACCAGAUGCAUAUUUAAAUUUGAAAUACAGCAAUUGCAAAACACUAUUUUCAUUCUCAUUUUUAUUUUCAGAAAAUACAAAUUCAAAAACAAUACCAAACGGACCCUUAAAGGAUCUCUAAUUAAUCCCCGACAUUUUCCCUCUUUACAAGUUUCUCUUUGAACUCUUUACACCACACAACCACCUAUUAUUUUCUUUUUCCUCAUAAGCAAUUUACACCAUAAUCAAUGUGAUUCCACUAACAAAAUCUCAUUCUUAUCAAUUUCCGUUUAUAAGCUUAAUCAAUAAACCUUUUUUUUUCUAUUUAUUUCCUAGCAUAUCAACCUUUUUUAUGUGAAAAAAAUUAAAGCUUUUUCAUUGGGGUCCACUUUUAACCUCUAAUUGAUUUAAUUCAAAUAUGUACAAGAUUUUUUAUUUUCUAUAUGUAUGUAUGUAUGUAUAUGUGUGUGUGUGUGUGUGUGUAUCUGUAUAUGUGUGUGUAUUUACUUACAAGAAACCGGGCUCUCUGUUUCUAGCUUUGUAACGUUACUAUUAUGGACGAGCCACUCCGAUAAGCUGAGAUUAUCAGAUUUCGCAGCGGCAACAAUGAAAUUGUUUGGGUUUGGGUUUGAUGAUAGACGGAGGAAUGUUUAGGGUUUUGGGUGAUUUUUUGGAAUUUUUUAUUGAAGUGAAAAUAUCAAAAUAACCUUUACACAUUUAAUAUUCAGAGUACUUAAACAGUUAAAUUUUUCUUUAGAAUUAAAACAGAAUAUAAAUUGAGACUCAGAAUUUUAUUAAUAUACCGCUGUUCGUUUGGACCAUAAUACAAAAACCAAAAUAAAUAAGAAUAUAGAGGGUGUGUGCUACCGCUGAAAAUGCUUUUCAAACAAAAGCGGAAAACAGCAACUAAGCUUUCACAGACUAUAUAUGUAUAGAUCAUUGUAAUAACUAACUAGAAAAUGGAAAGUUAGCAUAUAUUCAUAAAACACUCGUAGUUCUACCCUAUGUUAUUUUAUUAGGCACUAGGACCCUACAGUGGCACCAGCAAAAUCAUACACGCAUAUAUAUAUUCUCAUCAUCAUCAUCAUCACUAGAACUUGGCUGCAGGGUUUGGAUGUGGAUCCCUUCUACUUCAAUAAUGUUCUCUUCAUCAACUUGUUCUGGAAUUUCUUGAUCCCCGUUCACGCGGUAGAUCAUGAUCAAGAUUGUGCGAGUAAUGGAUGUUAUUACAGUGAGAUUUCGAAGCCAGUUGAAGCAGCGCUUAAACAGAGAAGCUAGCGUUGCAUAACAGAGUGAUAAGAUUAUGAGGCACAAAUAGGCUACCAAGAACAGAGACGGAGCCAAAAUGACAGAGGCCACUACUGAGACAGCCAACAGAACUGAGAGUUCUCCACAACUCACGGAAAUGGGGCGGCUCACACUGAGAGGAAUUCUGAUGGGUGUGAGGAGGAAGAUCAGUAAUGGGAUGACGACGGCAGGGAUCAGGAACCAGAACUGGAGCUUUAAAAUUGGAUACAAAAGUAUCUUACUUGUACCAUCUUGGAUGUCCCAAGAGUUCCCAUCUUGAGACCUGAGGAACAUAAAGAAGAUUAUAAAAUUUAGCAAUGGUAGAAAUAAAAACCUCAAAUCAAUUGAAAAAUUCAUGCUUGUGAGUAUAAGAUUUGGCAGGUAUGACUGGGUUUAAUUAGUACGAAUAAGAUUUGGCAAUGGCAGAGUUGAAAAAAAUGAAAGAAAGAGAAAGAAGAAGAGGGACUAGGGAGAAUCUAAGAAUUAGAUUGAUUUUUUAAAAUGCGGCGAGUCUGAGGCUUUUAUAAAGGUUGAGGAAGAAAAGUUUCUGAGUCUGUACGCACCACCAAUAAUAUCGUUGCAUGAUUUUGUAUCGCCAUUUUUUGCAAAAUGGUUCGAUACUUGUUUUUCUUUUAUUCCGUACAUUUUUAGCUCUUUAAAAGGUAUUUUCAAAAAGUGUGCACAAAAUAUGUCUGAGUGAAUGAUACAUGUUCCACUAAAUAGAUGCAUGUAACAAAUUAGAGCCAUUCAUGACAUACAAACAAAACUAGUGUCGGAAAGAAAUAUACCAAGGCCAAACUACAAUUACGUGUAAUUAAGCUACCUUUUUUUUUUCAUGUUAGUGUGACCAAAAUGAGAUUUUGUACAACAAAUAUAACUAUAUGGAACUAAAUAAUGUAAUUAUAAAUGCCAGCCAUAUUAUAUGUAUAAGCUUUCCGUGCCAAUAUCACUAGUGGCAUGACCAAAAACACCUACAUACACAAUAAUCUCUCAGAGGAGAGAUUGUCAAUUUUCCUCACUCUAAACCCAGAUUAAAGUAAAUUACAGAUUUUGUAGCUUAAUAAGACCCGGUUAAUACACACACAUAAAUAUUUUAUGCUUACAGCACAAUCAAUUUUUGGGCUUUCUCUUACACAAAAAUUAAAUACUAUCCAACCCAAGUGACUUAACAACAAAGUCAUACACAAAAUAGAAUCCUGAUUCAGAAUUUAUAGUUUUUGACGAGUCACAAUUUGUCUUGACUUUGUGAGCCGGGAUUACCUCUGAUGUAAUAUUAUUGAAUAUAAAUAUAAAAGAUGCUUUCAAUUUUCUAGUGGCUAGGCCACGAUAUUCUGGAGUUUGUGCAUGAAGGUUGAGGUCACCUCUUAGCUUUUAUGUUAGUGUGUUACGUGCAUUUUGUGAUCGAAUUCGUCUUGACUUUGUGGUCCAACUCACACACUUGGGCAUUUUGUGUCGGCCAUUUCUGGAUGAUGGAUUUGAAUUUGAACCUACAAGGCAUCAGCACUUGUCCCUAAAGCCAAAGGGUGGAAAAGGAAAAAUAUUCAGAAAGUAUGUAUGAGUGAAUGAAGAGCUUUUGAUUUAAAGUGCGCACAUCUCGUAUUUUAAGUCCUUUUUGUCAAGUUAACUUUGGUUUCUUAAGAGAUUUAAUUUGGCUAUUGACUAGACAUUACUUUCCAAUUUCUUCUUAAAAAACGUUGGUCUCUUAAGAGAUUAAAAAAUGAAAAUUAAAUUAUGGACGGAUAAUAUAGGAGGCUUCUUGGCUCGUUCCCAAAAAUAAAGGGAAUGUUGUGCUUGGUUCGAGAAACACGCUUCUAUCUGAAAUAAGAGAUACAAAAGAGUAGUCUAAACUCUAAAGCAUCCAAUCAUGCACCACUUAUUCUAACACUGAACAGUAAAAUGAUUUGACGUGGAGUCUUCGAAGGCAACAGUUUUUUCAAUUUUAUAAUUAGGCAAAUACUAUGUUACAAUUAAUGUAACAUACACAUUCAACAACAACCACACAAAUUAUAUGGGUCUAUUAUUUAUAUGGUUGUUGUUAAGUGUGUAUGUUAUAUUAAUUGUAAUAUAGGGACUCCCAAAAAAUAAUUUUGAUACAAAAGCAGGCUGCUUUUAUUCCAAUUACGUGAAUGGAUUUUGUCCUUCAAGAAAGUUAAUCAAGAAAAAAUAAUAUUCUAGUUGCAACAGUGGGGCCACCUUCAGACGUUACCAUUUCACACAAACUUGUGCAAGUCAGUGCUUUCACUUUUGAAGACACUAACUGGUACUGCCGGUUCAACAUUGGCUACACGUACAUAAGCAAGUGAGUCCAAAAGUUCUUACCCAUCAGUCAUUGCAAAUGCAAGAUGAUCAAUAGCAAAAAUGUGCGAGUUUUACACACUUUAGUAAACCAAAAGAAGAGGAAAUUUGGAUAAUGAGGAGCACUCGUAGGUAGACAAGAAAGAUAGCUUAUGAAGCACCAGUUCUUCAGAUAAGCUUCAGAAUGUCUCAACUCAGGGUAUGAACUGAAAUUGUUUACCUACAGUUGUUUAAAAAGACGGACACUGAUAUAUCAUCAAGAGAAAUAUAUCAACUAUACAUAUAUAAUUGCAAUACAGGCGCAUCCGAUUAUCAACAAAAUCACAUUGUUUGCUGAGUACACAUGUAAUAUACUCACUCAAAACACCCAGUACACACUGCACUCAACUAAUGCCCCUUUUAAGAGUAAUGAAGGGGGUUGAACUUAGAUGCGGAGGAGUCGAAGUGAAUAGCUUGUUUUCAAUUGGAUUCAAUGGCAUUGGGCUGGCAAAGACAGUAGGUUCCUGCAUAAAAGAACAAUGCAAGUUAGUGAAAAAAAUCAGUUUAAAAAUUUGAAUUUACCAAGUAAAAGCAGCAUACACUUCAACCUGCACGUCAGUGCUUUUACUAGAAGGGUUGUAAUUCUCCUUUGAAGCCAAUGCCAUUACAGGUUCCACCAUGGGGACACUGCUAUACAUCAACUCUUCAGCAUCACUACACCACGAUUUGUCGCCUAAUGCAUUGUAAUUAUGAGUUUAGUUUGUUACAUUUCAACUGAAACACUAUUCCAAAUUAUCCUUUCAUGCGCGUUUAUAUUUGUUCAGUGAUCANNNNNNNNNNNNNNNNNNNNNNNNNNNNNNNNNNNNNNNNNNNNNNNNNNNNNNNNNNNNNNNNNNNNNNNNNNNNNNNNNNNNNNNNNNNNNNNNNNNNCCAUUACAGGUCCCACCAUGGGGACACUGCUAACAGUCUUCAAUUGACAGCAAGAGGAUCAAAGUUUUCAGCAAUCCUUUUUGCUGGUACUGGUGUUCUCAUGUGCUGAGAAAGCUCCCUGUUGUUUCCACAAAGAGUAAAUAUGUUCUGAAUUCUUAACCUUCUGGAGGACUCUGUGUCUUCAGGUUUCUGAGGGGAAGAUGCCAAUAAGCCUGUAGUAAGAUUGAGACUGGGAAUAUUUCCAUCAGCUACACUUGAACAGACCCUUUUCUCCUCUAU
rnacentral:lncRNA from 1 species